AGAGGUACUUUCUAUUGUGUAUAACAACAAGCAGUUAAUAUGGAUUUCCUGAAUUGGUUAAUGUACUUUUUUUUCUCCUUGAUAUUGUUUCAAGCUUUCCAUUUGAUCACAAGAAGGAAAUUGGGAAGAUCCCAUAAGCUUCCGCCCGGUCCACCAACAAUUCCGAUCUUCGAGAACCUUUUCCAGGUUGGUGAUAAACCCCAUAGGUCCCUUGCCAAACUUGCCAAGAUUCAUGGGGACAUCAUGACUCUGAAACUUGGCCAGACUACUACCGUAGUUUUUUCAUCUGCAACAAUGGCCAAAGAAAUCUUCCAAAAGCAUGAUGCCGUAUCUUGUAACCGAACCAUUCCCGAUGCCCUUCGUGCCCUUCAACAUCACGAAGCCGGAUUGCCUUGGAUGCCUGUUUCAACCACAUGGAGAAAUCUUAGGAAAAUCUGCAAUUUGCAUAUUUUCGCUACUCAUAAACUUGACGCUAAUCAAUACUUGAGGCGCAGCAAAGUAGAACAACUCCUUGCUGGUGUUCGCGAAAGUUCCCUCAUCGGAGAAGCGAUUGAGAUACGUUAAGCUGCUUUCAAAACUACGCUUAGUCUCAUAUCAAAUACUAUUUUCUCCAUUGAUUUAGCCGACUCUACUCAUACUUCUGAGGAGUUGUUAAGUUUAGUUCCCAUGCAAAGGUGGCCAUGCACGACAUACAAAGGUGGUCAUGCUCCUGGAAUCGCAGCAAGCAGUGGUGCCAUGGUGUGCAGCAAUUAAAGUUUGAAGCUGCCAAUCUAUUUGCUAUUUUAGUUUCAUUUUGAUUGUUUUGUAAUCUAGUUCAUGUUGAACUAAGUAGGUAAAUGUUUUGAUAUUGAUUGACUGAAAAGUCAGCAAUGCAAGUUGUACAAGCUAAUCUUGUAAGUUUCAAUGCAAAUUAGUGGAGUUAGGUAGUUGAUUAGGUGAUUACUUGUUUGUUUUACUUAUUGACUAAUAUAUGUAAUGGCUUAAUGCCUUGUUGUAAUGUUAAUGAAAGAUAUCAGCUCUUUUUCAUUCAAUCUUCUUCUCUCUUUUCUGUUUUUUCACUUGCUAGUUUCAUCUUUCUGUUUUCUGCUUCCGAGCUUGCUUCUUCACCAAGGCUCGAGACUUACUACUCAAGCAAGACUUGAAACAGUUUGUUGCUGCCUCUUGCACCAACAAUUGGUAUCGAGAGCUCUUGUCUUAGUGGACCUGUUGCUUCAAAACAAGGAACUUGAUGGCUUCUUCAGGAUUUUCACCAGCAGCCCCACCAGUCUUCAAUGGAGAAGGCUUUCACAUAUGGCUGGUCAAGAUGAAGACUUACCUACAGGCCUUCGAUCUGUGGGAAGUUGUCAACACAGAUACUGAGCCAGCACCACUGAGGGCUAAUCCCACAGUAGCUCAGAUGAGGCAACAUGCUGAUGAGAGGACCAAAAGGCACAAAGCCAUGUCCUGCAUCCAGAACUGUGUGUCAGAUGUCAUCUUCACCAGAAUCAUGGCCUGUGAGACUCCAAAACAGGCCUGGGAUAAGCUUAAGGAGGAGUUUCAAGGCACUGAGAGAACAAGGCAACAGCAGCUGUUAAACUUGAGAAGGGAUUUCGAGAAUUUGAAGAUGAAGGAAGAAGAAACAGUGAAGCAGUACUCAGAUAGAAUUAUGGCAGUGGUUAACAGUAUAAGGCUCCUAGGUGAGCACUUUGAUGAGGCAAGAAUUGUGGAGAAAGUUCUCUCCACUUUGCCUGAGAGAUAUGAGGCCAAGAUAUCCUCCCUAGAGGACUCAAGAGACCUUGCUAGCAUCUCUUUGACUGAGUUAAUCAACACCUUCUAUGCUCAGGAACAAAGGAGAGCUAGCAGAGCUGAAGAUCACCAAGAAGGUGCAUUUCAAGCCAAGGCCAGAGAAACCUCGAGCAUUAAUGCUCAAAGAGGCAAAAAGCCUUGGAAAAACAGGCCUAAGCCUGAUGUUGCAAGAAGCAAUGACCAACCCUGCAGAUAUUGCAAGAAGCCUGGCCAUCCAGAAGACAGAUGCUGGUUUAGGCCAGAUGCAGUAUGUCAACACUGCAAGAAGAAGGGCCAUGUUGAAAGGGUCUGCAAAAACAGAAGUAAGCCAAGGCAGAAUCAAUUUCAGCAGUCAAAGGUUGAAGCUCGAGUAGCUGAGGACAGUAGUGACCAAGAAGAACAGGUCUUUGCUGUUUCCUGUGUAGCUUCUGAGAAGAAAUGCUCCAAAGGCUGGUUGCUGGACAGUGGUUGCACUAACCACAUGUCACCAGAUGCCUCCUUGUUUAAAACCUUGGACAGAAGUUAUAAAACCAAGGUCAAGGUUGGAAAUGGUCAGUUUAUAAGGGCUGAAGGAAGAGGAGAAGUGCUGAUAUGUACUCCCACAGGCAACAAGAUCAUUCCAAAUGUGCUGUUGGUACCACAAAUUGACAGAAACCUUCUCAGCAUAGCUCAACUGCUCGAGAAAGGUUAUUCUAUUGUGUUCAAAGAUAAACAAUGCCACAUUACUGAUCCAAGUGGAUCAAGCCUUAUGACAGUCACAAUGACUGAUAAAUGCUUUGAGGUUCACUGGGCAAAUGACUCAAACUCAGCAUACACAGCCUCUGUUGAAGACUCCAAGCUUUGGCAUCAAAGGCUUGGACAUGCUAACUUCAGAUCAAUGGCUCGAUUGGCCAAAGAGGGCUUGGCAGAGAACUUCAUCAGCUCAGUGGAGCAUGAUGAUGUGUGUGAAGUUUGCCAAAUGGGGAAACAGGCAAGAUUGCCAUUUCCUACAAAUUCAGCUUGGAGAGCUACUGAAAGACUGCAGCUGGUGCACUCUGAUGUAUGUGGCCCGAUGAGGACUGAAUCACUCAGCAAAAACAGGUAUUUCAUCCUCUUUAUUGAUGAUCUUACAAGGUUUUGCUGGAUUUUCUUUUUAAAACACAAGUCUGAGGUAGCUCAAGUGUUUGUGAAGUUUAAAAAUGCUGUAGAAACAGAAACAGGUUGCAAGCUGAAAUCGAUAAGGACUGACAAUGGCACUGAGUACACUUCAGCUCAAUUUCAAGCCAUUUGCAAUGAUGCUGGUAUCAAACAUUAGCUUACAAAUGUCUACACACCUCAGCAGAAUGGGGUAGCUGAAAGAAAGAAUAGAAGUCUGAUGGAUAUGGCCAGAUGUCUGCUGUUUGAGAAGGAACUGCCCAAAACUAUGUGGGCUGAGGCAGUAAACACUGCUGUUUACCUUCAGAACAGGCUUCCUACUAAAGCUCUUGCAUCCGAGACACCUUUCGAGGCUUGGUUCAGUUUCAAACCUUCCUUGGCACAUCUGAAGGUGUUUGGUUGCCUGUGUUAUGCACAAAUACCAGCAGCAAAGAGAGACAAGCUCUCCAAAAGGGCUCAACCAGGUGUUCUAGUAGGCUACAGCUCAGUCAAGAAGGGCUACAGGGUUCUGGAUCCCUUGACAAACAAAGUCCAGGUGAGCAGAGAUGUCAUCUUUGAUGAAAAAGCCUGCUGGAAUUGGGAGAAAAAUGAGCCAGAAGCAGUUUCAGAAGACCUAGUGCCUAAUCAAGCUGAACCUGAGCAGCUAGGACCUGAAAUGGAUGUUGAUGAUGUGCCUGUGAGAGGCACAAGGCCCCUAGAUGAUGUUUAUGAAAGGGCACAGGUUGCAAUAGCAGAACCUAGCAGUUUUGAAGAGGCUGAGGCAGAUGAAGGCAGGAAACUAGCUAUGGUCAAUGAAAUCAACAUGAUUGAAAAGAACCAGACAUGGGAGCUAGUUGAUAAACCUGUUGGAAAGAAGACCAUUGGAGUAAAAUGGGUCUAUCGAGUAAAACAGAAUGCAGAUGGCAGUCUGAACAAGCUAAAAGCCAGGCUUGUUGUCAAAGGAUUUAGCCAAAGGUAUGGUCUGGACUACCUGGAGACAUUUGCACCAGUAGCCAGGCUUGACACAGUCAGAAUGAUAGUUGCUUUGGCUGCUCAACAUCAGUGGAUCAUUCAUCAGCUUGAUGUUAAGUCUGCAUUUCUCAAUGGUUUCCUGGAAGAAGAGAUCUACAUCGAGCAGCCUCAAGGAUUUGUGAUCACUGGCAAAGAACACAUGGUGUACAGACUGAAAAAGGCUUUAUAUGGCCUGAAACAGGCUCCUCGAGCCUGGUAUGCUCGAAUUGACUCUUACUUACUCAGUUUGGAAUUUGAGAGAAGUCCCAGUGAACCAACACUGUAUGUGAAGAAGAACCAAGCUGAAACUCAGCUUAUUCUGUCACUCUAUGUUGAUGAUCUAUUGGUAACUGGAGGAGAUAGAAGAAUGCUGGAAAAUUUCAAAAGAAAAAUGAUGGAAAUGUUUGAAAUGUCUGAUUUAGGCAGAAUGAACUACUUCCUUGGAAUGGAAGUGAACCAAACAGAAAAGGGAAUCUUUCUUAGUCAGAGUUCUUUUACUAUGAAGAUCCUGGACAAGUUCUCUAUGAAGAACUGCAAGCCAACAAGCACACCAAUGGCUGUUGGAGUGAAGCUUUCGAGACAAGGGAGUGGUGAACCAAUUUGCGAGGCCAUGUACAAGAUUCUCAUUGGUAGUCUGUUGUAUUUGACUGCCACAAGGCCCGAUAUCAUGUUUGCUGUUAGUGUGCUAUCAAGAUACAUGAAUUGCUGCAAUGAUCAGCACUUUCAAGCAGCUAAAAGGGUGCUAAGAUACAUCAAAGGCACCAUUAGUCAUGGUGUAUUGUUAAAAAGGGCUGAAAACAUGAAGCUGAUAGGCUAUGUUGAUAGUGACUGGGCUGGAUCAAGUGAUGACAUGAGGAGCACAUCCGGAUAUGCAUUCAGUCUUGGCUCAGGCAUGUUUUGCUGGAGUUCUAAGAAACAAAGUCUGGUGGCACAAUCAACAGCAGAAGCUGAAUAUGUUGCUGCUGCAUCAGCUGUGAACCAAGCCAUAUGGCUUAGAAAAAUCUUAGCUGAUUUAAACCAAAACCAAAAGGAGGCAACAGAGAUUUAUUGUGACAACAAAUCUGCUGUUGCAAUUGCAAAAAAUCCCAUUUUUCAUGGCAGAACCAAGCACUUCAAUAUUAAGUUGCAUGUUAUAAGGGAGAUGGAACAAGCUCAUGAAAUCGAGCUGAUUCAUUGCAAUUCAGAAGUGCAAAUUGCUGAUAUCUUCACAAAGGCACUCAAUGUGUCUAAAUUUGUUAAAUUCAAAAGGGAAUUAGGUGUUACUAGCAUGGAAACUAAGGAGGAGUGUUAAGUUUAGUUCCCAUGCAAAGGUGGCCAUGCACGACAUACAAAGGUGGUCAUGCUCCUGGAAUCGCAGCAAGCAGUGGUGCCAUGGUGUGCAGCAAUUAAAGUUUGAAGCUGCCAAUCUAUUUGCUGUUUUAGUUUCAUUUUGAUUGUUUUGUAAUCUAGUUCAUGUUGAACUAAGUAGGUAAAUGUUUUGAUAUUGAUUGACUGAAAAGUCAGCAAUGCAAGUUGUACAAGCUAAUCUUGUAAGUUUCAAUGCAAAUUAGUGGAGUUAGGUAGUUGAUUAGGUGAUUACUUGUUUGUUUUACUUAUUGACUAAUAUAUGUAAUGGCUUAAUGCCUUGUUGUAAUGUUAAUGAAAGAUAUCAGCUCUUUUUCAUUCAAUCUUCUUCUCUCUUUUCUGUUUUUUCACUUGCUAGUUUCAUCUUUCUGUUUUCUGCUUCCGAGCUUGCUUCUUCACCAAGGCUCGAGACUUACUACUCAAGCAAGACUUGAAACAGUUUGUUGCUGCCUCUUGCACCAACAGGAGUUCCGAGAAAUUGUGCGGGGUAUCAUGGAAGAGUUGGGAAAACCCAACUUUGGUGAUAAUUUCCCUAUUGCUAAUCUUGACUUGCAAGGCAUCAGGCGUCGAGUGGCAAUUCUUUUUAGAAAGAUGAUGGAUCUUUUCGAUAAAAUGCUCAAUGAGCGGAUGGAGUUGAGAAGGAUGAAUGAUUAUAUAUCAAUUGAUGAUUUCUUGGAUAUCCUUCUCCAACUCAGCCACCAAGGAAACAGCGAAAAGCUCGACAGAAAUCUUAUCAAACAUUUGAUUUUGGUUGUAACUUAAUCUCUUUUCAGUAAUUUAUUAUUUAAGUUGUAUAAGUUGUUCAACUUGGUAAGAAAUUGUGAAACAGGAUUCGGUUGUAGGCGCAAUCGAGACAACUACAAGUACUUUGGAAUGGGCAAUGGCGGAAUUACUCCAAAACCCAAAAGUUUUGCAGGAAGCCAGAGGAGAACUGAAGCAAAUAAUUGGCGAGGGGAACUUGGUGGAGGAAUCUAACAUUACUUGUUUACCUUAUUUGCAAGCAAUUGUCAAGGAAACGAUGAGGUUGCAUCCAUCGUUUCCUUUAUUACUCCCCAAAAAAGCUGAAGCAGAUAUCGAGAUUCAUAGCUUCGUCAUUCCAAAAGGUACACAACUGUUGAUCAACGCAUGGGCUAUAGGUAGAGAUCCUAAGUUCUGGGAGGUGCCUGACUUGUUUCGUCCAGAGAGGUUCAUAAGAUCAGAAAUGGAUGUUAAAGGAAGGGAUUUUGGACUGAUUCCGUUCGGAGGUGGGCGAAGAAUUUGCCCUGGAUUACCAUUGGCCAUAAGAAUGUUGCACUUAAUGUUGGGUGGACUCAUUCAUUCAUUUGAUUGGAAACUUGAAAAUAACAUCACACCAGAGAGUUUAGAUAUGAAGGAUAAGUAUGGUCUUUUUCUGCAGAAAGCUCAACCAUUAAGAAUCAUUCCGAUUUCAAAUUAACAAUAUUGUGUUGGUUAUUUUAUCUAUAACUAUUGAAGUGUAAUAAGUGAAACUUAGCUAACGACAACUUAUUGUAUCGUAAAUUUCAUGUUUUCAAACUUUCUGCCAAUCAAAUAAAAAUCAUAUAAAUCUAUCAGAAGGAACCGUGUAAUGUGCAGCUAAUAUUAACAUUUGAACUUUAACGAAGGUUCAUUUCAUCUACAACCAAAAACUACUACCGCAAUACAUCUUCAAAAUACAUGGAAUAAGUAGCUUUUUUCGUCGUUACUUGAAGCUUAGUGCUCAGCCAUUUAAUUGGAAAGAGUUUCACCUUUGUUUCUAAGAUCGUUCCGAGAAACUAUGUAGACAAGAAUCCUGGUACCAAGGUUAUCAGUGUAUCUACAAGUACAUAUAUCAAUUUCGACAAACCCUCGUACCUUACUAGUGACAGCUCUUGUAGUUUUUAAAGAAAUGCACAGUUCAUUGUAAAUGGUACAUACACCAAUAGAUUACCAUUAUAUAUAGAAGUGACAAGGAUAAGCUUGCUAAGUUUAUAAUCAAAUUAUACAACAAAUGGGAUGUUAAAUUUGUCCAAGUUCUGAAUAGGGAUGACAAUAGAGCGAGACAGGGUGGAUGCUGUUAAAUCCUUCACCACUCUACAGUUAUCAUGCUCUACUUCACUAUUUGUCUUGCUUCACUGUGGAUGUAUAAUAUUAAAUAUUAUUACCAUCUCCAUAGAUGUUAGAUGCACCCAUCCUUACCCCACCUCACCCUGCUCUUGAAGAUGCUUUAAAACCAUUUUUUGUAACUCGUGUUUGCUUCUUCAUUGAGUUCUCUGCUCAAAGUAGGGAGUAAAAGAAGAAUAGUGGAAGUAGGGUGGUGUGGAGGGAAAGAAGAUGAACAUUAGUAAUGGGGAAAAAAGUUUAUAAAAAAAGAUGAUGUGGUGUGCAUAAUCAACCGACGUUAGAGAUUUAACAUUUGGGUGACUAAAAUAAAAAUUUUCUCUAACGACAGUGACCAAAUUGCAAGUAUUUUUAUUUGGAUGAUCAAAAUGAAAGCACCUAAAGAGUUGGGUGACCAAUUAGGUAGUUUACUCAAAAAUCUAUCUAGUAAUUUUCAAGAUGGCUAAUCUAACUUGUUUAAAAAUUUAAAGUGCUAAAAAUAUUAACUUUUAAGUUUAUUAGAUUUUUUUAACACUUCAUCAAACAAGGCCUAAAUAAAAAAAAAGAAGGAAAAAGAAAAAAUUAAAAAUCAUGAUGCUACACUCCUAUGAAAGAAAAUAUAUAAAAAAAUCAAGUUAAUUGAUAUGAAGUAGGUGUCCAAAUUUUCUAUUGAUAAAAUGUAGUUUAUAAGCUAGAAAAAGUUAAGAAAAUGUGGUUAUUGGUUGAAGGGAUUAUCUUGUCUAAAAGCUUUGCUUUAAUGAUUUAGAUGAAGAAUGGACGGAUAGAUUGUUUAUUUGGCAUCAUUACAACUUUUGACAUCACAAUUAAAAAUAGGUGGAGAAAUGAUAAGGAUUUCAAAUGGAAGAGAGAAAUUGGUAUCCCUCGAAUAUGUGAAUAUUUUUCCAUUUUUAUUUUCAUGGGAAUCAAUGGGAUACAGAUUAUUCCUGGGAAGCUUAUAUAAGUAAUUCAUAAUAUAUGUAUUUGAUUCUGAUUUUUCUAUAUCUGUCAUUCUUAAUUUAAUGAAUGAUAAAAGGUUAAUAGAAUACGUUAGGUAUGAAAAUUAAUAUACUUUUCUAUCUACGAAUGUUGAUUAUAUAAUAUAAAACUAAGAUGGUACUAAAUGUCAAUUCUAAGGCAAAUAGUUUCGUUGAGCUUCAUCCUUGCAAGUAUGAAGUGUGCUUCAAAAAGAGCUUAGAUGUUGACCGACUAGAAAACGGUAAGGGUUUCAAUUUGACCGCUUUGAACCUCCCCCCAAUCUUGAGGAUUUUGCAGCUUGGUGAUUGCUUUCUCCCAUUUUUCUUGCAUGUUGGGUUAAUUUGAAGCAAGCUUGGAUGUUUGUAGGCGCUGUUGAAGUAGUUGAGUUUCCAGAAUUGAAUACAAACGCUGUUGUUGUUUAGAUUCAAUCUCUUUAAGAUAUUGCCGAUGACUUGAAUUCCAAAUUGCAGCUUUAAUGGCGGACAUUGGUUUAUUGCUUCUUUACCCUCUGCAAGCUUUCAUUGAAAACUGAAACGGUCGGCCCUUCCAUUCAAUGUUUCUAGUUCCAUCAUCAGAAAGGAUCCAUGCACUAGAAGGCCCUCCAUAGCUUCAAAUCCCCACCCUAACCCAUCUCUUUACUUUCUCCUUCCUUUCUUUCUCUCUCAAUCAAUCUAAAAGCUUUUACCAAUUGGUCCUCUUUGUGUUAUGUACUAUUCAAAUGGAGGACACAACAGGAAGAUUAAAAUCUUCUCAGCAAGUGUUAGGAAAAAAGGGUUAAUAUGUCCCUUCAACUUCGCAAAUUAAUAAUACUUAAACUUUUUUCUAAUUUAAUCUGAACUGAAUUGAUAAUUUUUUUUAAAUUUUUGGUUGACUAUGUUAAAUUUUAUACUAACACACGUCUUAAAUUUUUUUUUUUGAAAAAUAAAAAUAAAAAUAAAAAAUUAAGAAUUUUAGGAAUUUCUUUUAUUCCAACAUGGAAAAAUCACAUUAACAACUAUUUUUCUAAGUAAUUUGGACAAUAAAACUGGAGUGCCUUAAAAAAUUUUUUUUGACAAUAAUCUCACAUCAAUCAAUCGAAUAUUAAUUAAUACAUAAUCAAUCAAACACUAUUUAAAAAUGGCUCUUUUGCUCAAAAAAAAAUAUUCCAAAUGUUAAGUUCAUUCUAAAAAUGUCUUUCUAGUAAUUUUAUAUUUUUAUAAUUUUAAAAAAAGAUUAAAUAUAAAAUUGGUACUUGAACUUGUCCACUUUUCUUAUAUUGGUACUUGUAAUUUUUUUGUCUUAGAUUGAUACCCAAACUGUUUUUAUGUCCACUAGAUUAGUACCUGAGCCUAACGAUGUUAAUUUUUUGUUGAUGUGGCAGCACUAGCCAUUCACGUUUUGCCACGUGUUAUCCUCUUUGGCUGCAAGUCAAACCCCCUUUAAUUAUUUUUCCUUUCGUUUUCUUUUAAAAAUUAAUUUUUUUUCCUUUCAUUUUUCUUUCACUAUCAUAUUCUACCUCUUCGCCUUCUAGCUCACUUUUAUCUCUUUUGUUUUUUCCUUUCACUAUCUGUUUUGUUUUCUACUUGAUCUCUUCGCUUUCUAUCUAUUUGAUUUUAUCUAUUCAUAACACAUCUUUUAAAGGAAGAAAACAAGCGAAAAUGUCUUUUUCAACAAAUAGAAAAUUAAGUGCUCAAAAAAGUUUUUGUACCCAUAAUGUUCAAAACAAAGAAACCAACAAAUUCAAAGAACAAAUAACAAACAAUAAAGAAUCCAACACAUUCAAAGAACAAAUAACAAACAAACAACCCAAAAUCUUAAAGAAGAAAAAAAAAGAACCUGAUAUAUUCUCAAUUUCAAUCUCAGUAACAAAUAAAGAAUUUAAAAUUUUCAACCCAAAAUCAUUUCAACUAGAAAAAAAGUUAACAACCUAAUAUAAUAGCAAGAACCUAAAAUGAGAGCAACAACCUAAAGAAUUACAAGAAUUUAAAAUUAUUUAAAAAUAAGAAAUUUACAACCAGAAAGAUAGCAAGAACUCAAAAAAAAUAAAUGAAAUACAAGAAUUUAAAAAACCCUAAAAAACCUACGGAUCCAAUGAACAACAAAGGCAAUUCCUCUCUUGAAUUUGUUAACCCUUAACUCCAUGACCUGAAGAACUUCUACUAGUCUCUAAGAAAAUUGAUUCUCUGUUGUUGCCUUGGCAGCGGUGUUGCUACUACUCCCUUUGGCUCCUCAACUCACUUUUAGCCUCACCAAAAGCCUCCUUAGUCUUUCUUCAGCAAGCGGAGAGUAUAAUUUCAAAAGCUCAAGGAUCAAGUUUUGAUUUUUUUUAUAGCUUUAAAGAGAUUUUCUUGGAAAUACAAGGCAAGAUUUGAGAAGAUAAGGAAGAGAGAAGUGUUGUAACACCCCACACCCGUACCCUACGUCGGGAUAAAAUACGAUGCGUUACUAAACUUAAACACAUGUAUUCAAAUGUUUCCGAGUCACCAAGACUUGAUCGAAUUUAAAACUUUUUUGAACCUUGUCUAAACUCCUUAAUAUGGGCCUACGAUGCCUCAAACAUUCAUUGGAAACCAUUUGGGGACCAACCUGGGUCAUUUAACUAACCUUAGAAAAAUAACUCUUAAAACAGGGCACACGUUUGUGUGGAAGGGCAACACGCACGUGUGGUUAUUAUAACACGGCCAUACUGAUAGCCCAUGUGACACACACGACCUAAGCAUAUAGGGACAGGUCCGUGUCCCAUGCCUGUGUGAAUUAAAUUCUAAUUCGAACCUACAGGGGUUUCAUACGGCCUGACACACGCCCGUGUCUAUAGCCUGUGUCUCUCACACGGCCAUGACACGCCUGUAUCUUAGCCCCUGUCUAAAAACCUUGACAUUAUGUUUCUGACCUCAGCAUCUAAUUUAGGGCACACGGCCAAGGCACAUGCCUGUGGCCAGAAGCCGUGUCCUCCACAUGGUUGAGAUACACGGCUAUGUCUCUACCCGUGUGUUUACUAACAUACAUUCUGACUUGCAAAUUUUACGUGCAAGGGACACACGGCCGAAUAACACACCCAUAGGGUUGGCCGUAUGUCACACACGGCUUAAACACACGCUCGUGUGUCUACCCGUGGGGACAAUAUAGGGCUAUCUACCAAGCCUUUGCCACCCUGAAACACAAUCUAACAUCAACCAACAUAUCAAAGAUUAACUUAAUAUGAUUUCUCAACCAAACAGCCAUAGCUAAGACCUAUAUACAUUACAUAUAUUCAACCAUGCCAACAAUUUCACAUUCAUGAAAGACUAGCUUGCAUUCACAUAAUAACUUUCAAUAUUAGCCAUUUUCCAUGGCCUUAUACAAAAUGAAUCAAAUGCUAAGCUAAGCUAUCAUAUUUGGCCAAUUAACAAUGACACAAAACUUAAAAGUCUAAGUUCCUAUACAUGCCAUAUUCAAAAUGAUAAAUCUAAUUAUACCGAGUGCUUCAGUUGAUAGUGUGAUUAAUGCCUCCGACGUCUGUUGAUCUUCGAGCUAGUUAGGCGGCACUAUAAGAAAAUAGAAAAGAGAGGGAGUAAGCAUAAAGCUUAGUAAGUUGUAUGCAAAUAAAUAUAGCAACAACUUUCCCAUUCAUCAUCAUGCUUAUAGUACAAAAGUAGGCAUAAGCACAACUUACUCGUCACUAACCAAUACAAUUCACAUAGCAUAUAUAUUGAGCUCACGUAUCAUACAUUUCAAAUAGGAACCUGUACCACUCACAACAUGGUUAUACUUUUCUCGUUUGACUUAAACUAUAACUCUUACCGUUGAACCAUUUGGAAAGCUAUUCGAUAUUCAUUAUGCCUCAAACAUAGGGUAUAAUGCCGCUGCCAUGUCUUAUACAUGGUCUUACACUGGCUGAUCCAUCAAGUCGAUGCCAUAUCCAGACAUGGUUUUCACUGAUUAUCGAAAUCGAGGCUGACGCCAUGUCCCGGACAUGGUCUUACACUAGCUCUCACAUAUUCAUGCCGAUGCCAUGUCCCAGACAUGGUCUUACACUGACACAUCUCGUAGCUGAUGCAUGUCCCAGACAUAUCUUACACUAGUACACCAAUAACCCGAAUGUCAUGGCAUGAAUAUCCGAUUUAUUUCCUAAUGUUCAAACGGGAGUUCCACUAUCUCAAUAUUUAUCAUACAUAAUCAUUUUCACAAACAAGCAAUUUAUGCUAUAUCAAUUCAAACACAUACAAUAACAAUGUAGUUGUAUUAUUUACUACAACUUACCUCGAUAUACAAAAUGUAGACACUAGUUCGGUUUAGUCCACUUGUUUUACUUUUCCUCGGUCUAGGCUCGGAUUUUGUAUUUCUUGAUCUAAAAUAAUAAAAAUUCAUCCAUUUAGUCACUAGAUAAAUUUAUACAAUAAAAAGUUCACAUUUUUGGCAAAAUGACCAUUUUGCCCCUAGACUCGAAAAUCCAUUUUUUAUCAAAUUUCUUCAUGCCUUAAGCCUAGCUGAACCCUUUUUACUCUUAUAGAAACCCAAAAUUUCCAUUAUUUCACACAUUUGUCAUCUAUUUUUACAACUUAUGCAAAAUGGUCCUUAGUUAGGGUUUUCAUGAAAAUUACUUCACAAAAGUUGUUUAUUUUACAACCAUGAUUCAUUUCCUUCCAUAAAAUUUCAGAAAAAAAACAUGAAUAUUCUCAUGUUAAAACCCUAGACUCUCAAUCAUUUUGCAAAAUAGUCCCCCCAUUAGCUAGCUCAUGCCACAAGGGUUCCAAAAGUACUAAAAUUAUAAAAAAUAACCAUCUAAAUCACUUACUUGAGAGGGAGAUGAAUGGUUGGAAGUUUUAACCUUCAAAGCCCUUACUCUUGCUGAAAAUUUCGGUGAAGAAGGAGAUGAGAAAGGGUUGAUAUCAUCCCUUGUUUAUUUUAUUUCUUUUUAGUCAAAUAAGCCACCAAAUUUUUACCUAACAUUUGACUAUCUAAUUUCUUUGUCUAAUGGCCGAUCAAGCACUAUUCUAGGGUCUAUUUUCUCUUUAAAGAUCCCCAAUUAAUGAUACAUGGAAAUUUAAGACCCUUAGCUAUCAAAUUAAGACUUUUGCACUUUAUGCGAUUUAGUCAUUUUUCACAAUUAAGCAUGAAAUCGCUAAAAUUAACUCACCAAAAUUUUUAUACUCUCAUAUAAUCAUGCCAAAACACAUAAAAUAAUAUUAAAAAUAAUUUCUCUGCCUUCGGAUCAGUGGUCCCGAAACCACUGUUUCAAUUGGGCUUAAAAUCGAGAUGUUACAAGUGUUUUAAUGGUCGGAUCGGCUGGAGAAGGCCAUGGAUGGUGGCAACUCAUGGCAGUGACAACUAAGGUUAAAAGAAGAGGAAUAUGGAGAAGAAGAGAAGAAGACAUUGUGUGUAACAGCCUAAUUUUUAGUGGUGUCGGAACAGUGAUUUGAGAUCACUGAAUCAGACAAAUGAGUAGGAAAUAUUAUUAAUUUAGUGAGUAUAAGUUAAAUGUGAAGUUAGGAAAAAUUUUGAAGUAGUGAAUAGUGUACUAAAAAUAAAUAUUAAAAUAAUUAGAAUCGAAAACGAGGUAUUGAGACCUCGAGAAUUUUAAAUCGAGCAAUAAAUAUUUUUAUAAAUAUUUAUGGAGUGUUAAUAAGUCAGUAUUAAAGUUUCGUCAAGAAAUUUUAAAGUUCUGAUAGUUAAUUGAACAAAAAAGACUAAAUUGUAUUAAAUGCAAAAUUGUGAGAAAUGAUUAAAUAGCUUAAAUGAUAAAAGAAAGAGGGUUUAAAAGGAAAAUAGACCCAAGGUCUCUUUGCGCUGGAUGGCAAUGGCAUGAAAUCAGCAAGAAAAUAAGGAGAAUUAAGGGAAAAAUUGCAAAAUUGCAAAAUUUACUUAAUAAAGCUAGGACUAAAGUGGAAUUAUCUAGAUUGCUCUUUAUUUUUCUGCAUUCUCAUCAGAAAAAACACCAUGGAAGAGUUCCCUUGAGCUGGUUUUUUUUCAUAUUUUUACUUCAGGUAAGUUCAAUUCUUGAUUAUUUCUUAAAUUUUUUUGUGUUUUUGUGACUUUUACAACUAGGUCCACUAGUUAAAUUCAUUAGUUUUUGAUUCUAUGAAAGAAAUUGAAAGUUGCUAUGAAUAUGUGCUGGAAGUAUAUGAUGAUUUUUCAUGGAAUUAGAGCUUUAAAUUGUUUAUAUGCUGAUUUUAUUGAAACAAUUGAAUAGAAAGUGAAUGUUUGGGACCUAAUUGUAAAAGAGUUUGAAGUUAGAGUUUUAUGUAGAAAUUAUGAAUUUAAAUAGUUAUGAAAUAACUUAUAAUGUCUAGGAAAAGUAUUAAUUGAGAAAAUUAUCUUAAUUGAGGGGUUAAUUGAGCAAGGACUGAAUUGUAUGAAUUGUGAACUUUGGGGCAAAAUGGAAAUCAACAUUUUGCACUAAAACUGUUUUGGACAGCAGCAGUAGUCUAACUUUGAAAAAUCACCAAAAAUUGUAGAAAUGGAAUUAGAGGAUGAAUAAAUAUGAAAUUAAAGCUUAUUGAGUCUAGUUUCUUAUAGAAGAAAUGAUGUAAGCAAUGGAAUUGUAAAUCAUGAGAUAUGUUAAAUUUUGUGAGACAAGGUCAGAAUGAUUUCGGGUUCCCCUGUUCUGACUUUGUAAAAUCAUCAAAAAUUGGAUAAAAAUAAUUAGGGCUUAAAUUUAUAUGUUUAGAAUCUUGAAUGAGUCUAUUUUCAAGAGAACAAACGGGAACAUCAUUCGAAUCCUGUACGAGGAGAUAAUUAAUUUUUAGUGAAGAAGGGUCGGAGCUGUCAGACAGCAGAACAGGGGAGACUUCAAUGAAUAAAAUGUAUUAAUUGGCCUAACCAAAAAUUAUGAAAUUUUUAUGGUAAGAAUAUAUAUGAGUAUAGUUUCAUAUAAAAUUAGCGGAUCUUAAUUUUGAGUUCUAUAGCUCUAUAUAUAAAUAAUUUAGUGACUAUGACACGGGUGGAUAGUCUGACUAUUCACAUAAGUAAUUAGUGAAAAUUAUGGAUAAGGUUACUUACAAGUGUGUUAUUUAUACCAAGGAUGUGGAUGGAGAGGAGGAGGGGGAAAAAUAUACGAAUGACUCGUGUAUAAAUUAAAUACAUGCCCGAUUAUAAUCGAUAAGUGUUGGAUUAGAAAUGAUAUAAUGUUUUAUGUGGAAUAUUUAUUAUGAAAUUAUGAUUAUCGUUAUAAUACAAAAUUUGUACUUGUGAGUUUAUAUGGCUAAAUUUUAGUGAUUAUUUGUUAAUUUUAUGAAUUUCAUGAUGUGUUAUUUCAUAUGUAUUAAUGAUAAAAUCGUGGAUAAUGUAAAAGUAUGAAAAUUGAAUAAAUGAUCAAAUUGAGCAUUUCAGUUCAGUGACAAGAUGAAUUAAAGGAAAAGACCAUAGUUGGACCAUGGCAACAAGUGAUAAGUGAUAGCUUCGGCUACACUUAUCUGAUCAAGGAUAAGUGAAAGUGAUAAGUAAUAGCUUCGGCUACACUUAUCUGAUCAAGGAUAAGUAAAAGUGAUAAGUAAUAGCUUCGGUUACGCUUAUCUGAUCAAGGACAAAUGACAAGUGAAAAGUGGUAGCUUUGGCUACCUGAUCAGUGAAAAGUGGUAGCUUCUGCUACCUGAUAAGUGAAAAGUGGUAGCUUCUGCUACCUGAUCAGUGAAAAAUGGUAGCUCCGACUACCUAAUCAAUGAAAAAUAGUAGCUCCGGCUACCUGAUCAGUGAAUAGUGGUAGCUUCGGCUACAAGUGACAAGUGAUUUCCGUAUAAGACCAUAUCUGGGAUAUGGCAUCGGUGUGAUAUAUGCUACUGUAUAAGACCAUAUCUGGGAUAUGGCAUCAGUGAGAUAUGUGAUUUGUGUAAGACCAUAGCUGGGCUAUGGCAUCGAUAUGUGAUAUGUGAUUACGUGUAAGACCAUAGCUGGGCUAUGACAUCGAUAUAUGAAGAUGUGUAAGACCAUAGUUGAACUAUGACAUCGAGUAAACGAAGUACUCAAUUCCGUAUGACGUUCACUAAUUUGACAAAGUUUGGUAAGUGUUACAUGGAAUUAUGUGAUACAUGAAGUACGAGUUGAUAAGAUAUGAGUAUAGAACUUGGUUGAUAAAUGAAUUCAUUUGUGAUUAUAUAAUUGUUCAUCUUGAAUGUACUAUCCAUAUGUAUUGAUAAUUCAAACGUAUUAAUGAAUAAAGUUCCAACAUGGAAUAAAUUAAACACGAGACAAAUAAUUAUGAAAUUGAACUCGGAAUUCAUGAAAAUGAUGGUUAUUGAUAUAUAGAGACAUGAGACAUUGGUAUAUGAAUAUGGAAAAUAUUUGAUAAAUGUGUUUAUUCAUAAUUAUGGAAUUAUAUACCUCAUGUGUACUAUUUGCAUAAAGAUGAUAUUUCAAAUACUUUGGUUAUUUAAGCUUAAAUAUGAAACAGUAUGAAAUCAAGAUAAGUUGUUAUAAAAAUAUAUUUAGAUUACAGAGAUAUGGCUAAUGUAUGUUGUAUGAUUACAUAACGUGAAAUUGUGUAUAUAUAUGAGAAAUUUAAUGAGAAAUGAGCCCAUACACGUUUCUUGUUAUUUAUAUGAAGUGUACGACUGACAAGGGUGAUGAAGUUAUAAACAGAGAGUUACACGGGUUGAAAACACGGGCUUGUGACUCUCCAAAGUGUGAAAAUUUUCUAAGUGUUGCAAAAGUUUCAUAUGUUUACGGUUUGGUCCCGAACCACCCUGAAUGUAUGUUUUGGGCCCCAUAGGCCCAUAUAAGGGACGUUAAACAUAUGUAUGAAAGUUUUUAAUUUAGAAGAAAUUUUAUGGCUGAUUUUUACAUGAUUGAUCAUAUUAAGUUCGGUAAUGCCUCGUACCCUAUUCUAGGCUCGGAAUAUUGGUAGGGGGUGUUACAUUGUGGCCAGGGUAGGAAAAAGAAAAAGAAAAGGAAGAAAAUGAGGAAAAAUGAAAAAAAAAGGUACAAAGAGGAUGACAUGUGGCACCAUAUGAGUGGUCAGUACUACCAUGUUAGCUCAAAAGUAACAAUGUUAUGCUUAGGUACCAAUAUAGUUGACGGAAAAAAAGUUUGGGUACCAAUUUAAGAUAAAAAAAAUCAUAAGUACCAAUCUGAGAGAAGUGGAAAAAUUUGGAUACUAAUUUAUAUUUAUCCUUUUUAAAAAUUAAAAUAUAAAAUUAUGGUGUAAAAUGACAACAAGAAUUUUAGAUAAUUUUCAAUUUUUUAUAUUUUGACCUUUUCUUAAAUUUUAGGAUGUUUAUUGUUUUUUUAUUGAACAGGCAUAAUCAACCUUAACAAAUGACUAUGGACAACAACGUCUCCAAAUUCAUUCUUAAUGUUUCCUUUUUAAUAAUUUUUAUUUUUAAUAAUUUAAAAUAAUAAUAAAUUUAAAAUAAAUUCCAUAUUUUAAAAUAAGCCUUAAACUUCAAUACUUAAAUUAUUUAUAAUCAUUUUAAAUUUUCAAAUAUUCAACAAUAUAAAAAUUUAAAACGCAAAUUUUUAUAUAUUUAACCAAAUAAUUUAUAUUUGAUUUUUUUUAUUUUGAUAUUUGAUUUUUUAAUUAUCCUUGAGAACGUUUUUUUUUAAUUCUCCAAUUAACCAAAAUUUUAUUUAAUUAUAAAAAUCCAAUUUAAGGAAACUUUCGAUUGUGUUAGUAUGUUUAUUUUUCAUCCCACUUGAAUUUUUUUAUAAAAAAAUUUGGAAUUCAUUUUUUAUUUAUAUUAUUAUUUUUGAAAUUAUAAAAAUAAAAUAAAAUUCCCAUAUAUAUAUGUUUAGAAUGAACAUGGUCACACUGUUAUCUAAAUUUAAAUAAAUCUAGAAAAUAGUUUGUUUAAGUUUAUUUUACACAGGAAAUUAAAAAAUUAAAAAAUUUCUAAAAAACCUAUAGCUUAUUUUAAAGUAAUACUUUUUAUGCUAUUAUUUUUUGAAAUCAUAAAACUAUUAGAAAUACAAGUUUAGAAUUAACCUAAACAAUUAUUUGUUGUGAUUCAUUAUAUAUGCACAUGAAAUUAAAAAAAUAAAAAUCCUAAAAUUUCUAAUUUUCUUUAAAGAAAUAGAUAUAUUUUAAGACACACGUGAAUAUUCUAUUGGUUUUUAGCAUAAAAUUAUAAAAUUUAAUGCCACCAAAGUACCUAAAAAUUAGGUAUAAACUAAGAGAAAUUAGGUAUAAAUUAAGUACUCCAAGUUGAAAGGCUAAGAAAAAACUGGAAAUUAAAAUGUUUUUACUACUGCCACAAUAAAUAUAGUGCAUAGCUAAAUAGUUAGUAUAGGGAAGAGGAUGAUUCUCAUGCAAAGUAAUAUUGUAAUUUUUUUUUAUUUUUUUGAUAACCGUUUUAAAUUUAUUAAUAUUUUUAAAAAAUAUUAAAUAUAUGUAUAUAAAAAUAUUAAAUAAAUAAAUUUCCAAUAUGAAACAUGCAUCAAUUAUAUAAAAUACUAAUCAAUAAAGUUUACAAAUAAAAAAAAAUAUUUUGCAACAAAUGUCAAUAUUAUCUCAUUAAUUAAACAACAAAAUAACUAAACAUAUUAGAUGAAAGGUGCAUAAAAACUUACGCACGAAGCUAUGUUCAUGAAUCUUUAAGCUUCUCGCCUUGUAAUUGUUAUAUAAAAUUUGAUAGCCGAAAAAUUCUAUUGUUUACAUUUCGUGUAACUCAUGUAUCGUAUUUGCUUGAUUCUAUCUCUGUAAUUGUUGAUUUAGUUAAUGGUUCAAAGUAUUAAGGUGUUAGGUACUAAUUAUGAAUGUUGAUUAAAUAAUAAUAAUAAUAUAAAAUAAAAAUGCAUGGCAAAUCAGAUGUGUAAUAGUAGUAGCUACAAUAGAUCUCAAAAUUUAGGGUGGUAAAGCCUUUGUGCUGUUGGUUACUAGCAUUUUGAGCCUGUGCCAUUUGACAAUGAAAGCCUUUUAAAUUUGUGUAACAUUAUAUAAAUUGCUAUAAAAUUAUUGCUUCAUUCAAAACAAAGAAUUGGUAUUUCUUAUACACUGAAAGAGGUACUUUCUAUUGUGUAUAACAGCAAGCAAUUAAUAUGGAUUUCUUGAGUUGCUUACUGUACUUUGUUUUCUACUUGAUCUUGUUUCAAGCUUUCCAUUUUAUCACAAGAAGGAAACUGGGAAGAACCCACAAGCUUCCGCCCGGUCCACCAACAAUUCCAAUCUUCGGGAACCUCUUUCAGCUUGGUGAUGAACCCCAUAGGGCCCUUGCCAAACUUGCCAACAUUCAUGGGGACAUCAUGACUUUGAAACUUGGCCAAACAACUACGCUAGUUCUUUCGUCUGCAGCCAUGGCCAAAGAAAUCCUCCUAACGUACGAUGCCAUAUCUUGUAACCGAACCGUUCCAGGUGCCCUUCGUGCCCUUCAACACAACGAAACCGGAUUGCCUUGGAUGUCUGUUUCAACCACAUGGAGAAAUCUUAGGAAAAUCUGUAAUUUGCACAUUUUCGCUAGUCACAAACUUGACGCUAACCAACACUUGCGGCGUAGCAAAAUAGAGCAACUCCUUGCUGAUGUUCGUGAUAGUUCCCGCGUAGGGGAAGCGAUCGAGAUAUCCACCAGUUGUUUUCAAAACUACACUUAAUCUUUUGUCCAAUACUAUUUUCUCUAUCGAUUUAGCUGACUCUUCAGAUAGUGCUCUGGAAUACCAAAAAAUUGUGCGAGGUGUCAGGGAAGAGUUAGGAAAACUCAAUUUUGGUGAUUAUUUCCCUACUCUUCUUGAUAAUCUUGACUUGCAAGGUAUAAGGAGGCGGAUGUCGAUUCAUUUUGAGAAGUUGAUGAAUAUUUUCGACAAACUGAUAGAUGAGCGGUUGGAGUUGAAAAAGAUGGAUGAUUAUAUAUCAACUAAUGAUUUAUUGGAUACUCUUCUCCAACUCAGUAAACAAGAUAGCAACGAAGAGCUCGACAGAAAUUUGAUAAAGCAUUUGAUUCUGGUUUUUAACUUCAUCUCCUUUCUGUCUUUUAUUAUUUAAUUUCAUAACUUGGUAAUAAGAAAUUGUUUUGAAACAGGAUUUGUUGAUAGCGGGGACGAAUAGUACUUCCAGUACUUUGGAGUGGGCAAUGGCAGAAUUAUUCCAUAACCCAAAACCUUUACGGGUAGCUCGAAGAGAACUGCAACAAGUAAUUGGCGAAGGGAACCCAGUGGAGGAAUCCCACGUUACUUGUUUACCUUAUUUGCAAGCAAUUGUUAAGGAAACGAUGAGAUUGCAUCCUCCAAUUCCCUUGUUACUUCCUCGAAAAGCUGAAGAAGAUAUUGAGAUUCAUAAUUUCGUGGUUCCAAAGGGUGCACGAGUGUUGAUCAACGCAUGGGCUAUAGGUAGAGAUCCUAAUUUUUGGGAGGAACCUGACUUGUUUCUUCCUGAGAGGUUCAUAAGAUCAACAAUUGAUGUUAAAGGAAGGGACUUUGGACUCAUUCCAUUUGGGAGUGGUAGACGAAUUUGCCCUGGAUUGCCACUAGCCAUGAGAAUGUUGCACUUAACGUUGGGUACACUUAUUUAUUCAUUCGACUGGGAACUUGAAGAUGGAGUUACACUUAAAAGUUUAAGCAUGGUUGAUACAUGUAAUCUUGUUCUACAGAAAGCUCAACGAUUAAGACUUAUCUCACGUUCAAUUUAAUAAUAUUGUAUUAAAUUGAAGAGAAAUAAUUGGAACUUAGAAAAUAAGCUUUAAAAUAGCAAUAAUUCCAAAAAUUCUAUUGUUUACAUUUUCGUCGGAGCCAAUGACAUAUAGAUUAUUUUCGUGUAAUUUUAUGUAAGUAAUUCAAAUUAUAUUUGCUUGAUUCUAUCUUUGUAAUUGUUGAUUUAAUCCAUGCCCCAGCCCCCGUAAAAUGUAAAAUUAUUUUUAGGCCCUUAAAAUUUUUUAAAAAUUUUAAAUUAAUAAAAGUAAAAUUACACUUUGGCCCCCCUAAAAUUAUAAAAAUUCGUUUUAAUUCUUUACAAAUUAUAAAGAUAUAAACUAUAAAAAAUUAAAAUUUCAUCCGGCCCCCUAAAACAUUUUUCGGUACAUAAAAUAGAUUAAGGUGUUAGGUAUGAAAUUUAAUUAUGAAUGUUCAUUUACUAAUAUAAAAUAAAAAUGCAUGGCAAAUCAGAUGUGUAAUAGUAGUAGCUACAAUAGAUAUAAAAAUUAUCUUCUCAGAAUUUAGCCUUGUAGCCGUACCAUUUGGCAAUGAAAGCCAUUUAAAUUUGUGUAAGCACUACAGCAAAACUGACUUUUAGCGGCAUUUUUAGGCCUUUAGCGGCGCUUUUAAGCGCCACUAAAACUAUUAGCGGCGUUUUUGCAAGCGCCGCAAAAAACAUCGCUUUUCCCACAAACGCCGCUAAAGGUCAUAAAAAUUAAAAAAAAAUAAAAUAUUAUAAAAUAUUGUAAAAGUCCUAAAAAAUAUAAAAAAAAUAAAAUUCAUUAUCAAAAUAUUGAGAAGAAGAAUAAUCUAUGAUAUAAAUACAUCCCGCCAAAUACCGCACUUAUCAUACUACACCAGAAAUCUAACAAAAUACAAAUAGAACAAAAUAAGGAUGAAUGAAAGACAUUAAUGAUAUAUAAAAUCAUUGUUUCUAAUGCAUAUGUAGAAAUCAAGCCAUGGUGUGCACCAAGGAUCCGGCUCUCGUAAUAGCACCAGGCCUUGAUCAAAAUAAUAAUACUGCGUUUGAAAAGAUGAUCUUUUCCAAUUAGCUGGUCAACCUGAAAAAUAAACAGUUCAAAAGAAGUCAUAUGUCAAUUAAACUUGCCACCUGUAAUAUCCCGAAUUAGGGCCUAAUCGGAAUAGUGGUUUCGUAACCACAAAUCGGAGAUAGAAAUAAUUAUUUUAUAAUUAUUUUGAGGUUUAUGAUAUGAUUGCAUGAUUGUGUGAAAAUUUCGUAAUGAAAUUCUAUGCCUAAAGUGCUUAAAUUGAAAGUAGGGACUAAAUCAAAUAAGUUGCAAAACUUGCAUUCCAGAAGUUUUUAGUAUAAAAUUGUUUUGGAAUAUUAAUGAGGAGGUCUUAAAUAGCAAUUUGACCAAUUUUAAGUUCAUGGACAAAAUUAGGACAUGGAAGGAAUUUUUGGAAAGUUUAGUAGUAAGGGUAUUUUGGUCAUUUAGUUAUUAAAAUGAAUUAAAAACAAAAUUAAAAGUCAAUUUUUGUCCAUCUUUUUCAUUAGGCCGAAAUUUCAAGGGUUCUCCAUAGCUAGGGUUUGUUUCAAGCUUCCAAGCUCCAUAAUCAAGAAAGACGUGGAAUCGACCUCAAUCGAGGAAAAGAAAAGAUUGUGGACUAAAUUACAAAAUCUUUGUAUUUUGGUACCAAGGUAAGUUCAUGUGUAAAUAAUGUAGCAUAAUGGUUAUUUUUAAAUUAUUGAUGUUAAUUAUAUGUUAUGCUAAAUUUUAUUAUGAAAUGUAUGUUUUGUGGUUAAUUUAAAAUAAUAUGUAAAUUAUGUGAACUACUUGUUAAAUAUAAUUGUUACCGAGUAUUGAUUUCGGCAUUCUACGGAAGACGGCAAGGAUAAGUGUUCGAGGAAAAAGCCCGUUUGAACCUUAGGAAUAGAUUAGGAUACAAGUGACAUGUCACUAGGAUGGUUGAGCAUCCGAACUCGUUGAGUUGAGUCCGAGUUCACUUAUGGAUACGAAUGUCCGAACUCGUUGAGUUGAGUCCGAGUUCGUGAGAUGUAACUAGGCAGCCGAACUCGUUGAGUUGAGUCCGAGUUCACUCAUGGAUGCGAACGCCCGAGCUCGUUGAGUUGAGUCGAGUUCGCUUAUGGGCGGGUUACAUGAUUGCUUGAUUGAAUAUGUGGCACUUAUAUGCAAAUUAUCCAUGUAUCCGAAUUAUAUUCCGAUGUGUUCAACGGGUAAAGUUCUACUCAAUGGAGGAAUAUUCGAGAUGUAAAGAGAAGUAUUGGUGAGUGAUGUGAAAUGGAUAUUUUGGACAGGUAUGUAUUUAACCCUCGGGUUGAGUAUUGAUACAACCACUAUAAGGUAAUAAGAUGAUGAAAAAUGAUCAGAAAUGUGAUAUGUGUUUUAGUGAUGUAUGCUAAUGUUGAUUGGUAUAACUGUUUGUUAUGUUACUUAUUAUUUGCAUAUGAACUUACUAAGCAUUUAUGCUUACUCCCUCCUUCUUACUCAUUGUAGUUUUGGACAAGCCAGCUCAGGAGUCAGGAUAGGUCGAAGGCUCAGUCACACUAUCCGGAAGACUUUUGGUAAAUGGCUUGUAAAUUUAUGUAUGGCAUGUAUAGCAAUAUACCUAUUUUGUGUAAAUGAUCUUAUGGUAUGGUUGUGGAAUGGUUGAGGAAAUGCUUGAUAAUGAUAAAUUAUGAAAAUGGUUAGUGUAGAUUAUGUUUGAUGUUAAGGAAAACUAUUAAGAUACUUAGUGCAUAAAAACUCAUAAAAAGGAUGAAAUUUGCCAUAAACAGAAUACUGCAGCAACACUGACGCGAGUUUGAAAAUUUAUUAAAAAUCAUAGCAAUUGAAUUUGGUGAUGGAAUACAUAUCAAAUUGAAGCUUAUUAUUUCUAGUUUCACAUGAAACAAAUGAAACAGGUAAAGGAAUUAUAUGUUAGAAGAUAUUUGAAUUUUAGUGAAACAGGGUCAUAGCAGUUUUUGAAUCCCCUGUUCUAACUUUAGAAAUUCAUUAUAAAUUAUAAAGAUAUAAUUAGGUGGUAUAUUUUAUAUCCUCAGAAUCCUUAUUGAGUCUAGUUUUAGUAGAAACAAAUCUCAUAGUCAUAUGAAUUUUGUACAGAGAGAAAUGUUGUUCGUAGUAAACAGAGGUCAGACCAGUCGAGUCCUGAAACAGGGGUAACUUUAACUAAUAAACUGUACUAAUUGGCCCAACCAAAAAUUCUAGAAAAAAUUUAGUAGAUAGGUAUAUGAGUCUAGAUUUAGGGAAAAUUUACGGAUCUUGAUUUCGAGUUUCGUAACUCAAGAUAUGAUUUUUCUUGUGACUAUGAGGCAAGUAGCUUAAAAGCUGUGAAUGUAGAAACAAUAAUCCAAAGUUCUAAAAAUGUUAAACUAAGCUUAGUAACACCUCAUACUCGACUCCGGCGAUGGUCUCGGGCGUGGGGGCAUUACAUUUAGUGGUAUCAGAGCAGGUUUAGUCAGUUCUCGAACUACGUGUUGUAUGUACGGAUUUUGCUAUACAUGCCAUAUGUAUGAAUUGUGAUAGUGUGACGACUUCUGACAUUUUUAAAAGAUUUUUAUAUAGUAAAUGGAUCCCGAUCCAGCUGUGACAGAUGAAGUAGAGAGUAAUGCGCCAGCUCCGGCUGAAGGAGCAACGCCGACUGAAAAUCCACCUCCUACUGUUGGUCAGGGAGGAGGAGAAAGGGGUCGGGAAGCCUUUCUCCAAAUGAUGAGUGCAUGGUACACUGAGUUCGUUCGUACGAACCCAAAUGUACGACCUCCCCCAAUUCCUCAACCUGUACCCCCGAUGCCUCAAGGUAUGAAUAUGAUAAAAUUUCACAGAACCCCUGUUGACAGAAUUCGUAAACAAGGGGCUGAAGAAUUUAGAGCAAAUAUUGAUGAUGAUGCAGAGAAAGCAAAGUUCUGGCUUGAAAAGUCUAUCCGGGUAUUUGAUGAAUUAUCUUGUACACCUGAAGAAUGUUUGAAAUAUGCUACAUCUUUGUUGAGAGAUUCAGCCUAUAAUUGGUGGAAGACUUUGAUUUCAGUGGUGCCGAAAGAGAGGGUAACCUGGGAAUUCUUUCAAGAAGAGUUUCAGAAGAAAUAUAUUAGUGAAAGGUUUAUUGAUCAGAAAUGUAAAGAGUUUCUUGAGCUGAAGCAAGGUAAUAUGACAGUCUCAGAAUAUGAAAGAGAGUUUGUUCGAUUAAGUAUGCUAGGGAAUAUGUUCCUACAGAAGCCAAGAUGUGCCGACGAUUUGAAGACGGGCUUAACGAAGACAUUAAAGUAUUUGUCGGGAUCCUUGAACUAAAAGAAAUGGUAGUACUGGUCGAUCGAGCUUGCAAGACUGAAGAACUACUUAAAGAAAAGAAAAAGGUAGAGGCUGAGACUAGAAAUUAGAAGAAAAGACCGAUGAGCGGUUCAUUUUCACAGCAACCUAGAAAGUCAAGGAAUAUGAAUCCUCGUUCCCAAGCUUCAGUUGGGCAAUCAUAUGGGAAUUAUAGGAAGCAAAAUGUGGGUCCUAAAUCCCAGACUACUUCGACAGCCAGUGUAGGGAACUCGAGAUUUGUUAAACCUGAGUGCCAGCGGUGUGGUAGAAAUCAUUUUGGUCCGUGUAGAGCAAAUGAAUGUUUUCGAUGUGGUUCUCCGGAUCAUUUUAUUAGAGACUGCCCAGAGAGAGCUGAAAAAGAAAAAUUUCAGAAUACAAAAGCUAGUGGUGCAGACUCGAGAGGAAGAUAUUCGGGAAAAGCUGGAAAUGAAGCAAGCAGCAAGAAUGUAGCCAGAGAUUCAGCAGCUAAAUCUGAAGUAAGGGCUCUAGCUAGAACUUAUGCCAUAAAGGCACGUGAAGAUGCUUCCUCACCUGAUGUGAUUACCGGUACAUUCUCUCUAUAAUGUUAAUGUUAUUACUUUGAUUGAUCCCGGUUCUACUCAUUCAUAUGUAUGCAUGAAACUGGUGUCUAGUAUGAAUAUACCUGUUGAGAACACAGAAUUUAUGAUUAAAGUGUCGAACCCGUUAGGCAAAUGCGUGAUAGUUGAUAAAGUAAACAAGAAAUGUCCUUUAAUGAUUCGAGAUCAUUACUUUCCGGCCGACUUGAUGUUGUUGCCGUUUGAUGAGUUUGAUAUUAUUUUGGGUAUAGAUUGGUUGACAUUGCAUGAUGCUAAAAUAAAUUGCAAAGAAAAGAUUAUAGAAUUAAAAUGUGGAAAUGGUGAAACUCUACGGGUUGAAUCAGAUAAAUCAGAGGCAUUAUCUAGUAUGAUUUCUUCGAUGUCGGCUCAGAGAUAUUUGAGAAAGGGUUAUGAAGCUUAUUUGGCGUAUGUAAUUAAUACAAAAGAAGUUGAAAAGAAAGUUGAAUCAGUGCCGGUUGUGUGUGAAUUUGCGGACGUAUUUCCAGAAGAAUUGCCGGGUUUGCCUCCGGUCAGGGAAGUAGAAUUUGGUAUUGAUUUGAUACCGGGAACAGCUCCGAUUUCGAUUGCUCCGUAUAGAAUGGCACCAGCAGAGUUGAAGGAAUUAAAGUCGCAGUUGCAAGAGUUGACUGAUAAAGGUUUUGUGAGACCGAGUUUUUCACCUUGGGGUGCUCCCGUGUUAUUUGUGAAAAAGAAGGAUGGUUCUAUGAGGUUGUGUGUUGAUUAUCGGCAGUUAAACAAGGUGACAAUCAAAAACAAGUAUCCGUUGCCAAGAAUUGGUGAUUUGUUUGAUCAGCUAAAAGGAGCGACAUGAUUUUCAAAGAUUGACUUGAGAUCUGGGUAUUACCAACUGCGGGUAAAAGAGUCGGAUGUGCCUAAAACUACUUUUAGAACAAGGUAUGGUCAUUAUGAAUUUUUAGUUAUGCCAUUCGGAUUGACAAAUGCUCCUGUUGUGUUUAUGGAUUUAAUGAAUCGCAUAUUUCGGCCAUACUUGGACAGAUUUGUUGUGGUGUUUAUAGAUUAUAUUUUAAUUUAUUCAAAAGAUAAGACAGAGCAUGCUGAGCAUUUGAGGAUAGUUUUGCAAACUUUGAGAGAUAAGCAGCUGUAUGCUAAGUUUAGUAAAAGUGAAUUUUGGCUCCGGGAAGUUGGAUUUUUGGGUCAUAUUGUUUCAGGUGAUGGUAUACGGGUUGAUCCUAGUAAAAUUUCAGCCAUUGUUGAUUGGAAACCACCGAAAAAUGUAACUGAAGUUAGAAGUUUCUUGGGGCUAGCUGGGUAUUAUCGGCGGUUUGUAAAUGGAUUUUCUAUAAUUGCUGCUCCUAUAACUAGAUUACUCCGAAAGGAUGUUAAAUUUGAAUGGACGGAAGAAUGUCAACACAGUUUUGAAGAAUUGAAAAAGUUAUUAACAGAGGCACCAGUGUUAGUACAACCCGAAUUAGGUAAAGAAUUUGUGGUGUAUAGUGAUGCUUCUCUAAAUGGUUUGGGGUGUGUGCUCAUGCAGGAAGGAAAAGUGGUGGCAUAUGCUUCGAGGCAGUUAAAACCUCAUGAGAGGAAUUAUCCUACUCACGAUUUGGAAUUGGCUGCGGUGGUGUUUACUUUGAAAAUUUGGCGACAUUGUUUGUAUGGUGAAAAAUGUCGGGUAUAUACCGACCACAAAAGUCUUAAGUACUUGAUGUCACAAAAAGACUUGAAUUUGAGACAGCGAAGAUGGUUGGAGUUAUUGAAAGAUUACGAGCUUGUUAUCGAUUAUCAUCCGGGAAAAGCGAAUGUGGUUGCUGAUGCUUUGAGCAGAAAGUUGUUGUUUGCUUUGAGAGUUAUGAACACUCAGUUGAAAGUGUCAAAUGAUGGUUCGAUUCUAGCAGAGUUAAGAGCAAGACCGAUGUUUUUACAAGAGAUUUCUGAAACUCAGAAAAAUGAUCAAGAUUUGCUAGCCAAAAGAAAACAGUGUGAAGCUGAUACGGGAUCAGAUUUUAGAAUUGGUGCUGAUGGGUGCUUAAUGUUUAAAGAUCGGAUUUGUGUACCGAAGAAUGAGGAAUUGAUUCAAAAGAUCCUACAGGAAACACAUAGUGGUUAUUUCUCGAUUCAUCCGGGUAGUACGAAAAUGUAUAAUGACUUGAAGAAAAUGUAUUGGUGGAAUGGAAUGAAAAGAGAUAUAUCAGAGUUUGUGUCCAAAUGCUUAAUUUGUCAACAGGUGAAAGCUGAACACCAAGUACCUUCGGGAUUACUUCAGCCUAUUAUGGUUCCUGAAUGGAAAUGGGAUCGGAUUACUAUGGAUUUUGUUUCAGGAUUGCCAUUGACUCCAGGAAAGAAAGAUGCCAUCUGGGCAAUAGUUGACAGAUUAACUAAGUCGGCUCAUUUUAUCCCGGUACGUACGGAUUAUUCUCUUAACAAGUUGGCUGAACUGUAUAUUAGAGAAAUUGUUAGAUUACACGGAAUACCAUUAUCGAUUAUUUCAGAUAGAGAUCCAAGGUUUACCUCGCGAUUUUGGCAAAAGUUGCAAGACGCGUUAGGUACGAAGUUAAAUUUCAGUACUGCUUUUCAUCCACAAACUGAUGGACAAUCAGAAAGAAUAAUUCAGAUUCUUGAAGAUAUGCUUAGAUGUUGUGUAUUGGAAUUUCAAGGAAGUUGGGAAAGAUACUUACCGUUGGUGGAAUUUGCUUACAAUAAUAGUUAUCAGACGAGCUUGAAAAUGGCACCUUAUGAAGCAUUGUAUGGUCGUAAGUGUCGAACGCCUUUGUAUUGGACUGAACUCAAGGAAAAUCAGAUUUAUGGAGUUGAUCUAAUAAAAGAAACUGAAGAAAAAGUGAAGGUAAUUCGAGAUUGUUUGAAAGCUGCUUCAGAUAUACAGAAAUCUUAUGCAGAUUUAAAACGAAAGGACAUUGAAUUUCAAGUUGGUGAUAAAGUAUUUUUAAAGGUGUCUCCGUGGAAGAAAGUCUUUAGAUUUGGACGAAAGGGCAAAUUAAGUCCGCGUUUUAUUGGGUCGUAUGAAGUAAUUGAAAAAGUUAGACCGGUAGCAUAUCGACUAGCAUUACCACCUGAAUUAGAAAAGAUUCAUGAUGUGUUCCACGUAUCUAUGUUACGUCGGUAUCGUUCGGAUCCUUCACAUGUAGUUUCACCGACAGAAAUUGAACUACAACCAGAUAUGACCUACGAAGAAGAACCGAUUAAGAUUUUAGCUCGAGAGGUCAAACAACUAAGGAAUAAAAAUGUUGCACUUGUGAAGGUGUUGUGGCAAAGGCAUGGAGUAGAAAAAGCUACAUGGGAAUCCGAAGAAACUAUGAGAAAUCAAUACCCACAUCUGUUUACAGGUAAGAUUUUCGAGGACGAAAAUCCUUAAAGGGGGGAGAGUUAUAAUAUCCCGAAUUAGGGCCUAAUCGGAAUAGUGAUUUCGUGACCACAAAUCCGAGAUAGAAAUAAUUAUUUUAUAAUUAUUUUGAGGUUUAUGAUAUGAUUGCAUGAUUGUGUGAAAAUUUCGUAAUGAAAUUCUAUGCCUAAAGUGCUUAAAUUGAAAGUAGGGACUAAAUCAAAUAAGUUGCAAAACUUGCAUUCCAGAAGUUUUUAGUAUAAAAUUGUUUUGGAAUAUUAAUGAGGAGGUCUUAAAUAGCAAUUUGACCAAUUUUAAGUUCAUGUACAAAAUUAGGACAUGGAAGGAAUUUUUGGAAAGUUUAGUAGUAAGGGUAUUUUGGUCAUUUAGUUAUUAAAAUGAAUUAAAAACAAAAUUAAAAGCCAAUUUUUGUCCAUCUUUUUCAUUAGGCCGAAAUUUCAAGGGUUCUACAUAGCUAGGGUUUGUUUCAAGCUUCCAAGCUCCAUAAUCAAGAAAGACGUGGAAUCGACCUCAAUCGAGGAAAAGAAAAGAUUGUGGACUAAAUUACAAAAUCUUUGUAUUUUGGUACCAAGGUAAGUUCAUGUGUAAAUAAUGUAGCAUAAUGGUUAUUUUUAAGUUAUUGAUGUUAAUUAUAUGUUAUGCUAAAUUUUAUUAUGAAAUGUAUGCUUUGUGGUUAAUUUCAAAUAAUAUGUAAAUUAUGUGAACUACUUGUUAAAUAUAAUUGUUACCGAGUAUUGAUUUCGGCAUUCUACGGAAGACGGCAAGGAUAAAUGUUCGAGAAAAAAGCCCGUUUGAACCUUAGGAAUAGAUUAGGAUACAAGUGACAUGUCACUAGGAUGGUUGAGCAUCCGAACUCAUUGAGUUGAGUCCGAGUUCACUUAUGGAUGCGAAUGUCCGAACUCGUUGAGUUGAGUCCGAGUUCGUGAGAUGUAACUAGGCAUCCGAACUCGUUGAGUUGAGUCCGAGUUCACUCAUGGAUGCGAACGCCCGAGCUCGUUGAGUUGAGUCCGAGUUCGCUUAUGGGCGGGUUACAUGAUUGCUUGAUUGAAUAUGUGGCACUUAUAUGCAAAUUAUCCAUGUAUCUGAAUUAUAUUCCGAUGUGUUUAACGGGUAAAGUUCUACUCAAUGGAGGAAUAUUCGAGAUGUAAAAAGAAGUAUUGGUGAGUGAUGUGAAAUGGAUAUUUUGGACAGGUAUGUAUUUAACCCUCGGGUUGAGUAUUGAUACAACCACUAUAAGGUAAUAAGAUGAUGAAAAAUGAUCAGAAAUGUGAUAUGUGUUUUAGUGAUGUAUGCUAAUGUUGAUUGGUAUAACUGUUUGUUAUGUUACUUAUUAUUUGCAUAUGAACUUACUAAGCAUUUAUGCUUACUCCCUCCUUCUUACUCAUUGUAGUUUUGGACAAGCCAGCUCAGGAGUCAGGAUAGGUCGAAGGCUCAGUCACACUAUCCGGAAGACUUUUGGUAAAUGGCUUGUAAAUUUAAGUAUGGCAUGUAUAGCAAUAUACCUAUUUUGUGUAAAUGAUCUUAUGGUAUGGUUGUGGAAUGGUUGAGGAAAUGCUUGAUAAUGAUAAAUUAUGAAAAUGGUUAGUGUAGAUUAUGUUUGAUGUUAAGGAAAACUAUUAAGAUACUUAAUGCAUAAAAACUCAUAAAAAGGAUAAAAUUUGCCAUAAACAGAAUACCGCAGCAACACUAAUGUGAGUUUGAAAAUUUAUUAAAAAUCAUAGCAAUUGAAUUUGGUGAUGGAAUACAUAUCAAAUUGAAGCUUAUUAUGUCUAGUUUCACAUGAGAUAAAUGAAACAGGUAAAGGAAUUAUAUGUUAGAAGAUAUUUGAAUUUUAGUAAAAUAGGGUCAUAGCAGUUUUUGAAUCCCCUGAUCUAACUUUAGAAAUUCAUUAUAAAUUAUAAAGAUAUAAUUAGGUGGUAUAUUUUAUAUCCUCAGAAUCCUUAUUGAGUCUAGUUUUAGUAGAAACAAAUCUCAUAGUCAUAUGAAUUUUUUACAGAGAGAAAUGUUGUUCGUAGUAAACAGAGGUCAGACCAGUCGAGUCCUGAAACAGGGGUAACUUUAACUAAUAAACUGUACUAAUUGGCCCAACCAAAAAUUCUAGAAAAAAUUUAGUAAAUAGGUAUAUGAGUCUAGAUUCAGGGAAAAUUUAUGGAUCUUGAUUUCAAGUUUCGUAACUCAAGAUAUGAUUUUUCUUGUGACUAUGACGCAAGUAGCUUAAAAGCUGUGAAUGUAGAAACAAUAAUCCAAAGUUCUAAAAAUGUUAAACUAAGCUUAGUAACACCUCAUACUCGACUCCGGCGAUGGUCUCGGGCGUGGGGGCGUUACACCACCCUUGAUAUUGCUAUAGGAAUUAAUGCAUAGAGAGAUGGAGAUGGGAUUGGGGAUUCCUCAAGGCUACAGCAGUAAAUUUAAGCCACGGUGUGGGAAAAGGUGAAAUGAGAGAUUUUAGACUAAAUCCAAAGCAUUAAUUUCUAUUAAAUGAAAACAAACAAACAAAUAUAAUUGUUAAAGAAACAUUAAUUUCUCUUAAAUCCGGUAAUAUUCGAACUAUUCCAUUAUUCAGUGCAUUCAAAGUUUCAGAAUAGAGAGAUGAAUACAAUUAGCAGUAGGAAGCAAAUACAGACAAUUACCACAUUUUCAGUCGUCGUAGCUAUAAACUUAGUUACUGAAUUCAUAAAUCAUGCCUGCCAUUUGCAGCCCAAAUACACACACACACACAUAUAUAUAUUUAAAAAAAGCAGCACUUUAUAGUGUUGGUUGCAACCAAAGAAAUUCAAACAUACCAUCAAAACCCUCCAAGAUGCAAGGGUUGCCAGAAUCUUCAGUGGCCUUCAAAAUUUCUGCUCGAGCUGCCAGUAAGCCAUAGUGCAAAUAACUGUACACAAGAAAGCCAUAAGUAUACAACUAAAAUAUAAAGAUUAUACAAAUGACUAAAUAGAGACCUGUUUGAUAAGACUGCUUAAGGAAUCACAAGCCAUUAAGAUUUCUCUUUAUAUUCAAUUUCAAAUCAUUAACAGAAUCUUAUUUUGUUAAAAUGGAGGGUACCUGUGUACAUAGAGGUAAUAUUUUGAUCCCUUGAGAUACAUUUCAUUUACAUAAUUGUCCUGUCCAGCUGGUAAACUUGGAGCUCUUGAAGCAGCAUUCUUGGAGAUGGCAUACGCCAUUUGAACAGAUCCACCACCAAGAUCAACUAUGCCAACUGUGUCUUGAUAUGUCCUUCCCAAAUUCCCUAGUAGGUAAUUUAUUGUCACCUAUAAAAGAAGAUGGAGGUUAAGAAAGUCCAAAUUAGGUCCAUUGGCUCCAUCAGUAGGAAAAAUUACAACGGAUCCUAGCCCUAACAGCACGUAAAUACUUUAUUCUAGUUUCCCUAAGUUACCCCAGAGAAACCCCUCGGAUUUCUCCAAUUGGAUCCGGCACCACCAUGAAAGCAUCUCAAGCAAGACUGAUCAUGUUGACCAGUUAUAAGAUUAAAAUAUCAAGCAGUCCUUGUACUUAGUCAAAAGUACAAUUUAAUCCACUUAGUCAAAAGUACAAUUUAAUCCACUAUAUUACAGAAUUGAGUCCUUCAAUCUUUUCCAUGUUUGACAUUGGAGAAAUAAGUAAAAUUGAUAGCAAUGUUAACGGGAAACCAUCUAAAAGCUAGCAUAGACCCCCGAAAUCUGACAAAAAUAUUGACCUCUAGAUGGAACUGAAGUAGCAACAUUUUUUCAAUUAAGAACAUACAUAUUGUCGGAUUUCAACUCAUGUACAACUCAUGUACUAUGUAAGAUUUGAGAAGAAAAGUCCACAUCAGCAUUUAAAUAAUUUUACAUCAAUAUUGUUAUCAAUUUUACUUGUUUGCGCCUAUAUCAAAUGUUUAAAGAUUAAAUUACUCGGUUCUAUAAUACAAGGAUUAAAUUGCAUUUUAGCUAUAAUAUAGGGACGCCAAGAUACUCUAACCCCAGUUACAGUAUGCAAAGUAAAAGCAAAGUAUAAAAGUACAAGAAAAUUCAGCAUAUCAUACCCACUCAUAAGAACCUUCUUGAGAGCCGUCCAGAAUUUUGACCCCAUUUGCCUCGGAUUUAAGGGUGCUUCUACUUUUCAAAAGUUCCCUAACCUAAAUACAUAUUUAAAUUGCACUAGCUUGAGGAAAUGGUAAAGUAAAUGCUGUGGCCAUAACAAACAUGUAUCCGAAAAUAAAAUUACCGAUUGCAAAUUUUAUCAAAUACCUCGCCUCCUAAUGCCCUCAGACCAGCAGUUGCCUACACAGAUAGCCCCAUUGUUCAGCAAAUUAAAAGGCUUAGAAUGCAUAACGCAUGAACAUAAUACCUACCCCAACUCUCACAACAGUCUUUGAUCGUAAAUCUAGCGGAACAACACUUUUUGCCUUGUCAAGAAGAGAAGUUAAUGAAUUUGCAGCAGCCUGUGGAUCUUUUGCAUAGUAGCUCAAACCUGGUUUAAGCUGCAGCAAAACAACCCACAUAAAACUAACUAAUACUUGGACAAAAACCUCCAUAAAAUUGAAGAAAAUGGUCCACAGCACACAAGUAAAAUGGUACCUUGAAAAGAGAUCAAAGAAUUGAUGUUUUGAACUCUUUUUUUUUUGUUCAAUUCAAGUAAAAUCCUUUUCUAGAGGAUACAAGUUAAAAUCCUACCUUACAAUAUUUGAGUCAAACUAUGUCACAAUUCACAAAUAUCAAAUAAAGGUCACAAUAUUCUCAACCCCUUUCAACUUAUGUUUAGAGGAAAGAAAAACAAAAACAAUAAUCAUACAAAUAAAGAUUACUAGUUGUCAGUUACUUUUGUUAGAAGUAGCUUUCUAGUGUCUAUUCGUCUGGAAUGUUUUUUAUUGAAUAUUUUAUGAAUUAUGUUAAAUAUUACUAUUUAAAUACACUUUUUUACGAAUUAUUUAUUUUUUCAACAAGUUUGACAAUUAAGGUUCCAUUUCCUCGAUACUUUUGCUUCUUAAAAUCUCGCUAUAAAGUAAACCUAAAAAAAGUUACGAUUGAUUAAAAAUGAACAAAAAAAAUUCAAAAUGUAACACUAAAAGUAACAUCAUGCAAUUUGUUAUCUAUCAAUGUUUAUUUAAUAAUACUUCAAAAACAUUGUUUCUCUUGUUAAUCUAGCGUACAGCAGACCAACUAGUUACCAUUAGCAAGUUUUAAAAUUACGAUCAAAGCAGGCGAGUAUCAGACUAACAUUUCAAAGGAAAAUAAUUUAGAAAAAGAAAGAAGGAAAUUGUAAAGAAAAGAAUGAGUUUAUAUAAGGAAAAAUAUGGUUAUUAGAAUCCUAUGAUUGUUGGAAUUGUGACCAUUCGAUGAUUUGUUACCGUUUACUUGAAAACGCGUCUUAUAGGGCGCGUUUUUACUCUGACAUGAAUAGAUAAAUUUCAAAAUUUUCGGCAUAUAUCAACAAAUUAGCCUAAUUAAAUGGGUAAAGAAAUUCUGCAGCUAACAGAAAAAAAAAAGGUCGACAAAUGUACGUACCUCUUACAAAACAAACACAAAAUUUCACCUCUGUUAACUUCCUCCUCACUUCUUAUUGUGUUUGCGUGAAUCGAUAUGACAAUUGAAAGCUCCCACUCUUUCUAAUUUACACAACAAUUCAUGUAAUAUUAUAAAAUCAUUAAAAAAAGUUGAUAAAGAAAACUGAUAACAACGGAAUAAAAAUCCCAGAAAGUGUGAGGACGAAGAAGAGAAAAUUUUGAAAAAAGAAAGGAUAUUUGGGAAGGAAGAAAACCGAGAAGCAAAAUCCCGAGAAACAAACAGAAAACAGUGAGAUUCAAAUAUUAAUUUAUAUAUAAAAUAAACAUAAAAAAUAAAGAAAAUACACUAACUCACCUAUCAGCUCUCCAAUGAAACAAAGAUGAACAAACCAAAGAACGCCAUCGAAAGUUAAUAUUAUAUAACCCCCCCAAAAAAGAGUUUAAAAUCAAUACAAAUACAGAAACCUUUAUUUAUAGUAGCAUUACAUUGAACAACUUCAAACUUCUUUUUCUGUGAUAAAAAAAACGUAUAUAUAAAACAAUAAAUGGAAACACAAUAAAAAGGAAAGCAUUACUAAGAUUUCCGACUUACCUUAAACGGAAAUUCAUUAGCCAUUGUUGAUCUUUAUCCAUUGCUACAUUCGCCAUCACUCGAAGAAAAAAAACACAAAACCCCUAACUUUAGGCUUUUCUUCGUUUCCCGCUCUUUGAAACAAAGAGAUGAAAAGAAGACAGGAAAAAACACUGACUCAGGUACGAAUAGUGGCAAAUUUGAAAACUCUUUCCAUGUUUGAUGCUCUCCCGCAGAGAUAUUUUAGGGUUUGGGUUUUUCAUUUUUUUUAAAUUGAAAAAACAAUUAUAUUUUGUUUGCUAUCCCCGGGUCUAGCCCAUAUUUCAAGAAUAUAAAUACUCUUCUUGGGCUACAAUCCAAUAGUGUCCAACCUAUUUGGGCCUAUAUUCGGUUGCAAUUUAAGUUUGAUCCAAUUAUACAUUAACAUUGAUUUAAUGUGUAAUUGUAUACAUGAAUUUUAAUUUGGUGCAAUUUAAGUUUAAUUCGUUGCCUUCUAUUCAACCAAUUAUGAUAAGUUGUUGAUACGGCAACGUAAAAAAUUGACAUUUGGCAUGCAUUUUUCAUAUCCUAAAACAUAAAAUGAAAAUUACACAAUACAACUAUUAUUAAUUUCUUGAUAAUUUUUUCGUAUUAUUACCGAUUUAACUAAUUAAUUUUGGAAAAAAUGAUUUUAAUGUGAAUUAAAAAUACAUAUUAAUUCCUAACUUGAAUAAAUUUUAGCAAGAGUUUAUUUUUAACUUGAAUUAAAAUUAGUCGGAUUGAAUUAAUUUUCACAAUAACUAAUAUGGAAACACAACAAAUAUGUUCUUAAAUUUAAUUAUGUUAUUCAUUUUAUAGAAGGGAAAAUAUCAAAUUUGCCAAGAAUUAAUUAUUGAAUAACCUAUGUUAUUAAAUAUUGCCAAAUUUUUAAUGUUAAUUAAUUUUUUAUUUACAUUAAGAAUUAAUUUUGACAUGUUUUAUACUGAUAAUUUGAUUUUUUUUUUUUUGUAAACUAUAAGAAGGACAAAAUCCUAACAACUAACAAUUUGAUUUAACUGGUGUUUUUAACCUUGCUUCACCAGGGACCAUGUUUUUAGUGGCAAUGUCAACAUUAAAAAAUGCUAAUACAAUUACAUAUAAAAUUUUAAUAAAUAUAAAUUAAAAAUUUAAAUACAAUUACAUAUAUAGGAUAUUAAAUAUUAAAUUAAAAAUAAUAUAAAUAUAUAUAUUAAAUUGGGUUUAGGUUAAGCCUUUUAUUAAUAUGGGAAUACUUAGAUAAAAUUUUAGGCUCAUAUAUUGAAUGAAGUGAGACUUGAAUAAAAAUAAAAUAUAUUAAUAUCAUGCUUAAAGCACAAUCAUGUUUAAGUUAAACAAUUAUGUUUUUUUAUUAAUAUAUAUUCAAUGACUUUAAAAAUUAGGGGUUUUAGUGUCCGGCAUGAGAAAAAGAAAACAUUUCAAAAAGAAAACGACCCCGUUUAAGUUAAAUUUCCAAUUAAAUUUAUAAAUACUUAACGUAAAUUUACUUAAACCUAAUGAUAUUGUUUUAAUUUUUUUUUGUAAAUAUAUUCAUGUUAUUUUCAUUUGAUAUUUUUUAAUUUUUUAAAUAUAAACAAGUUAAAUAUUUUUAAUUAUUAUUAUUUUUCUAAACUAUAAACCCUUAACUCUUAACCCCAAACCCUUACACCUUAAACUCCAACCCUAACCCCUAAACCCUAAAUUAUAAUCCCUAAACCCAUAAUUCAUCAUAAACCUUCAACUACUAGUUAAGUCCUAAACCUUAAACCCUAAACCAUAUAUCUUAAACCAUAGGUAACUCAAAAAUCUUAAACCCUAAACUAUAUAUCUUAAACCAUAAACCAUAAACUAUAACGAUAAUUAAUUCGAUAUUUUAAAUUCAAUACUAUCUCUUUUACGAUUAUAUAAGAAAAUAUUUAAUAUAUUGUAUAACCAUAAAUUUUAAUAAUUAUUGUUUUAGGGGUUAUAGAUUAGUGUUUAUGAUUUUUUUGGUUUAGGGGUUAUAUGACUUUUAGCGGCGUUUUGCCAAAAGCGCCGUUAAUGCUCUAGUUUUUAGCGGCGUUUUGCCAAAAGCGCAGCUAAUGCUUUGGUUUUUAGCGGCGUUUUGCCAAAAUCGCCGCUAAUGCUCUGGUUUUUAGCGACGUUUUGCCAAAAGCGCCGCUAAUUCUCUAUUUUUCGCGGCGUUUUUUACUAAAACGUUGCUAUUGCUCUGUUUUUAGUGGCGUUUUUGGUAAAACGCCGCUAUUGCUAUGUGUUUUACAAUUUUUACGGCGUUUUUUGAUAAAACGCCGCUAAAGCCCUAUUUUCCUGUAGUGAAGCUAUAAAAUUAUUGGUUCAUUCAAAACAAAGAUUUGGUAAUUCGUCUAUACGAAAACAGCUUUAAGCUAAAUAUUAUUAGGUUAUAAGCAUUACCAAAGGGGCUAAAAAGAAUAUUAUAAGCAGUGGCGUAUUGGGGCCUCCCGACUCAACAUAUAUAAUGGCCACCUUUUUUAGACAGAAUCAAAGGGCCUCAACUAUUGUUUCUUCUUUUAAUAAAUGAUUCAACACGCAAUGUAUAUCGGUUAAAAACAACAUGAAAUAUAUAAUAUUAAUAAAUUAGAAAAAAAAUAUUUGAAAAAAGAUAUUUUAUGUAUUUUUAGUUGAAUCAAAUGAUAUGACGUAACUUGGCAGUUUUGUUAUUUUAAUUUCUUCAACCCAUUUGAAUAUGAUCAGAUGAGAUUAAUUACGUCCACAAGUUAAUUGAGAUAUUAAUUUGAAAAAAAGGUAUGAAUUGAUUGACUCGGAAGUUGUUAGGGAACUAUAAAAUUAAGUUUUUAAUAUUUUUAUUUUUCAAAGAAUCUGAUUUCACAUCAUUUAAAAUUACAGUAUACGAAUGUUUAUUAUCGCCAUUUCAUUUUUAUGAGGCGAUUGUUACUAAAUUAAUUAUAAUUACGACAAAGACAAGCACACCUAUCGAAUAAUAGUAUAACUAUGUUGAGUAGGGAAUAUCGCAUCCACGAGGACUAAAAGUACUAGUAAUUACCGUUUUUCUAUUAUUUAGUCGAUAAAUUGAAGUGAUUUUUAAUCUAAAUUUACUAAUCUAAUUUAACUAUGAACGCAACAGAGAAUGAAAUGGAAAAAUAAUUGAAGACAACCAAUGAGAAAUACAAUAUCUAGGAAAGAAUCCCCCUAGGCUUCACCUAUUAUUUUGAAUUUGAGCUAAACGAUUUAUUCACUUGUAUCUUGAUCCGUAGAAAUCCAUAAAUUAUGUUAAUAUCUCUUUCGGGAGUAAAAACAACUGUCUCUAGGUUGAGUAAUUGAAAUCUCUUUCUAAUUAAAACCCCUAUCGUCGCAUUAACAUGAUUUAUAAAUUCCCUUAUUAGAUUUGACUCUAAUCCGGUAGAUUUAUGUCGUCCUAUUUCUAGGAUUGUAUGCAACUCCACUCAAUUAUGUUAGAUCUACUUUUAAAAAGGGACUUUUGCUCCACUGAAAUAAGCACAUUAAACUUGAAUUACUAUCUCAGAUAUAUUAAAACAAGAAAUAAGCAUUCAUAAUUGAGAACAAGAAUCAAGUAUUUAUCGCGUAAAUCAAAAAUCAAAUAAUAAGAUUCAUCAUAGGUUUCAUCUUCCCUAGGUAUCUAGGGAAUUUAGUUCAUAAUCCUGAAUAGAAACAUCUCAAAGUUAGGAUAACAACAAGAUAUAAAGAAACUCAAUAAAACUUCGAAGGAAAUUAAAUGGAGAUCUUUAAUCUUGAAGGAGAUCUGCUUCCGAGUUGAUUCUGAUGGCGUUCUUCGAGUGUUCUCUUCAAUCUUCUCUGAGUGCCCCCUUAAAUCUUCUUUUAAUUUGUUUUAAAGACUUUAGAAUGCUCAGAAUGCCUAAAAAUUGGGUUUUUUUGCAUAUUUGGGAAACAGGGUGCGAUAUUGACACGGGCUGACACAUGGGCGUGUGGUGUUGAUCAUUUUAUGAACCAAUAAACUAAACUACGAUCACGACUAAGGCAAGCGCACCAAUCGAAUGGUAAUAUAGUUGAGGUGAGUCCAGAAUAUCGUAUCCACAAGGACUAAAAGUACUAGUAUUGAUUUUCUUUCUAUUAUUUAGCCUAAAAUAUAAGGGGUUUGUUCUAAUUUAAAAUUAACUAACUAAUUAACUACUGCACGCAAUAGAGAGUGAAGAAAAUAAUCGAAUAAACCAAUAAUAAAGGCAAUACCCAAGGAAGAAUCCACCUAGACUUCACUUAUUAUUCUGACUCUGGAUCAAACGAUUUAUUCACUUGUCUUGAUCCGUAGAAAUCCCUAAUUUAUGUUAAUAUCUCUUUCGAGACUAAGAACAACUGACUCUAGGUUGAUUAAUCGAAAUCUCUUUCUAGUUAAAACCCUAUCGUCACAUUAACUCGUUAUAUGGAUUCCCUUAUUAGAUUUGACUCUAAUUCGACAGAUUUAUGUCGCUCUAUUUGUAGGGUUGCAUGCAACUCCGCUUAAUUAUGUGAGAUCUACUAUUAAACAGGGACUUUUGAUCUACUAAAUAAGCACAUCAAACUUGGAAUAAUAUCCUGAAAAUAUUAAAGCAAGAAUUAAUAACACAUAAUUAAGAACAAGAACAAGUAUUUAUCAUUAAAUUCAAAAUAUUAAAUAAUAAGAUCCAUCUUAGAUUUCAUCUUCCAUAGGUAUCAAAGGAAUUUAGUUCAUAAUAUAAAAGGAAGACAUCUUAAAUUUAGAAAAACAGCAAGACAUAAAAAACCCAAAUAAACUUCAAGAGAAUUUUGAAUGGAGAUCUUCAAUCUUGACGUGGAUCUACUUCUGAGACGAUUUCGAUGGCUUCCUUCGAGUAAUUUCUGCUUUCUGCUCUACGUCCCCCUUUAGGUCUGCUUCUAGUGUGUUUAUAUAGACUUUAGAAUGCUCAGAAACCCUAAAAUUUGGCUUUUUCUGCGUAUUUGGGAAACAAAGAGUUAUAUCAACCACGGGCUACCACAUGGGUGUGUGGCUAGCCCGUGCAUGUGUUCAGCCCUGUGGAAUUAGUCUUGGCUGUGUGGAUCUUUCAAUCAACCUGUUUUGUCCGUUUUUAGCCUGUUUGAUGCUCCUUUUGUUCCUUAUGCUAUCCUAAGUAUAAAACAUGAAAUUAAGGGAUUAAGAGCAUCUAAUUCACUAAAUUAUAUGAUAAACCAUCCAAAAAUAUGCUAAGUAUAGGAUUAAAAUGUGUUGCUUUUAUGGUUUAUCAUGUGGCCAGCCCAUGUGGAAAUGCCCAGGCUGUGUAGAUCUUGGAAACAACUCUAUUGGUCCAAUUUUGGCUCGUUUUUCGCUCUUUUCGCUCUUAAAUGCUCUCCUAAGUAGAGAAACAUGAAUUUAAAGGAUUAAGAGCAUCAAAUUCACUAAUUUACAUCAUUAAGCAUCCAAAAAUGCAUUAAGAAUGAGAUUAAGGGUCUGUUUGUUUAACUAAAAAUGAUUUUCGGAAAAUGAUUUCUGGAAAAUGGCUUACUUUUCUAGAAAAGCUAAUAUUUUCUGGUGUUUGGAUGAAUGUGUAAAAUAUUUUCUAUUGUUUGGCAGAGUUUCUGAAAAUAUUUUAUAAAAACUGUUUUACAUGAAAUAAACAUACAUUUAAGAAUUUAUUAUCUUAUUGUUUGAUUGAGUUUAUUUUAUAUCUAUUAAAUUUAUAUUUUAUGCAAUCAUUUAUUUAUAAAUAAAUACAUCAAAUAAAACAUUAAGAACCAGUGCCAAAGAAAGGGAUUCAAAGAGAAAAAAAUCAAUUACAAAAAGAAAUUCCCUAGUCUAAGAAAAUAGAUUACACAAGAAUAUGUAUACACAAGAAUACAUAGUUUAGACACAUAGUCUAUGCACAAAAGUCCAUAAUUCCAUUUCCAUACUAGUCAUUUACAUCCAACUACUGUGUAUGACUUACAACAAGAGAGGUAAACAGAGAGAUGAAGGAUACAGAUAACUAAAAUAUUUAACACAUACAAUUAUUCUUAUCAUCAAUGGGCACAUUUGGAUGGAAGAUAGAGAGAGCACGAGCAAACUCUUCGAAACCUAGAAUUCCAUUAUGCUUUGUAUCAAGCAAGUCAAAUAUCUACAGUGAAAUCACAAAUAUAUUGACAAAAACUCAAGCAAUAUUAUGCUAAUAAGAAUUGUUCUUUCAAGGAUGGAGACAUUAUUAAUUAACAUUAGAUAAAAAUACCCAAUCAACAAAUAAACUCUCCUAUUUGUUUGUUUCGAAUAACGCCAAUUGGAACUCCUCAUGUUAAAUAGUAAUAUAAAUAGAACUUAAAUACUAUAAAGAUGAAAAGGAAAGAACCAACUCAAGAAAAGGAGUAAUCAUCAAGCCAAAAAACUUGACAGACGUAACAAAAGAUAUCAAUUGUAUAACAAAAUGGGAACUAUGAAAAAAAAAGACCUUGUUGAUCAACCCAUCAUCUAUAACAACAUUGCUUAUAUUCUUGAAAAGCUCAUAAAGUGCUUCUAUUUCACUUACACUAACUGCAUGAAAAUGAGAAAAAAACAAAUUUCAGUAGAAUGACACAAGAACUAAAAUAACACAAGCAAACAUUGAACAAAUGAUAAAUCAAGCAAAAGCAUUUAAUUUAUCACAUAAGCAAUAUAGAAAAAUAUUUAAAAAGAAGAGAAAAAAAAUGAAAACAUACAAACGGUCUCUCUUGCAAGAAGUUUAGGAUCAACAAGACCUCUUAAUUGCUUGUACAAGUUAUUAUCACAUUAUUGCAGCACUGAAGCAAAUAAAUGCUUCAAUCUGUCUAUGCACUACAACAUGAUAUUCUUUUCACAUCAAUACACUCCAUACCUAGGCAACAAAAAAAGAGACCAAAAAUCCCAUUCAUGUCAUUCUUUCCAUACACUGAAUCAUUCUAAAAGCAAACAACAGAACUAACCUUUUAACCAUUUCCUGAUUAUGCAAAAGUGGUAACUUUGAGGUACAUAAGUGCUUUCAUAGAAAGCCCAGAUGUGUGGAUAAAGUGAAGUUUUGUGUUUCAGAACAAAUGUCACUUAGACCAAAAUCAUAAGUCCUUGUAGGUUCAAACUCAUGAGUCAUGACCACCCUUUGCCCCAUGAAGCAGAAAAUACUUGUGUACACUAAAAUGUUGUGUUUAUACAACAUUGUAAGGGGACAUUGGAUUUAAGUGAAAUUCUAAGACCUUAACUUUAAGUGAAGACUGAACACUCACUUAGAGUUAUAUCCACUUCUAGGCUGCAAGAUGUAACACCCCUUACCCGUAUUCCUUACCGGAACAGAGUAUGAGGUAUUACUAAAUUUUAAAAAUUUUCGACAGCAUUCCUACUUAUUUUUGCUUAAACCUCCUGCAAAUUUAGAACACAUUCCAAUAUACCAACCAAUUUCAUUUGUAUAAACACACAUAUAGUUUAACUAUUAAUAAACACUACAUUUAAAAGGGAACCAUAACAUAUAUUUACAUGAUGAUCCCACAUUACAUAAAGUGUCUAUACAUGCCAUAAAAUUUCGGAACACUAGUAGUAAAAUACCCCAAAUGUGAAGGAUAGUGUAGAUGAUUGUCUGACUUCGUUCCAAUUUCCGAGUUGUUGGAAGUCACUAUAACCAAGAGAAAAAUAAAAUCGAGUAAGCAUAUAGCUUAGUAAGUAAACACAUGAUAAAUAAGUAAUUACUCCCAUAACUACACCAAAAUAUAAACUUAUUCAUGAAUAACUUUAUUGUUUAGGCAAUUUCCAGCAAGCUGUUUUUCUGCGUCAUAGUCGCUAAUUUAUUUUUAACUGGAGCUACAGGGAUCCAAAUUGAGUUCCGUAAAUUUUCCCUGAAACUAGACUCAUAUACCAUUUCACCAUAAAAAUUUCAGAAUUUUUAACCCAGAAAAUUAUUACAGUUUAUUCAUUAAACCUUCCCCUUUUUCACUGCCCAACGGUUCUGACCCUUCCUCACUAAAAUUUACUUAACUCUCUGUACAAAAUUUGAAAAAUGGUUUUUCUUGUUUCUAAUAAAAAUAGACUCAAUAAGGAUUCCAGGGAUAUAAAUUUCAUGCCAUAAUUAUUUUUUUACAAUUUUUGGUAAUUUUCCAAAGUUAGAACAGGGGAUCUCGAAAUCAAUCCAGUCCUGUUUCAGUAAAAUUCAGAUAUCUCCAAAAAUACAACUCCUUUGCUUAUUCUAUUUCUUUCAUAUGAGAAUAGAUACAUUCAACUUCAAUUUCAUAUAUUAUUCAGCUUCCCAUUCAUUUCCACCAUUUAUGGUGAUUUUUUCAAAGUUACCCAAUUACUGUUGUUCAACACAGUUUAUAAUUAAAUCGUUCCUUUUGCGUUUUUUAUAUUUUCUCCCAUCUCAUACAUGGGUCGAUUUAGUAUUCAACUCAAUAUUUACCCCAUAAAAUUUUCCACCAUAUGGCAAUAUUCAUCUUCCACACUUUUUUUUUUGUUGAACACUCGGAAUGUUAGCCGUUAUUGGUGGAUCCCGCACUUAGCACCACCACUGAAUCGGGGAAUCAGCACAUAGCAACCCCUCGGGGGAAUCAGCACAUAGCAACCCCCUUUUUAUUUCAAAGAUAUGGUGGAUAUCGCACUUAGCACCACCAAUGAAUCGGGGAAUCAGCACUUAGCAACCCCUCGGGGGAAUCAGCACAUAGCAACCCCCCUUUUCAUUUCAAAGAUAUGGUGGAUAUCGCACUUAGCACCACCAAUGAAAUCGGGGAAUCAGCACUUAGCAACCCCUCGGGGAAUCAGCACAUAGCAACCCCCUUUCACAUUUCAAAGAUAUGGUGGAUCACGCACAUAGCACCACCCAUAAAUCGGGGAAUCAGCACACAGCAACCCCUUUUAUAUACAACAUACUACGGCUUAUUCCGAGUGUUCAACCCAUAACCCAUAUAUUGCAACCCUUUAUCACCUUUCCCCAUUUAACAACAUUUUUAGGAUAUUGCCAAACAUUUAUUUUAAUUCCAAAUAAAUCUCAACAUAUAUCAAAUAAUAUCAAAAUAAUACAUUAAGUCACGUGUUUACUUACCUCGGUGCAAAAUAUCGUAAUUUUGCACUUUACUCCCCUAUCUUUUCUUUUCCCCGUUUGAUAUACUCUUCACGUCUUUCUUGAUCUAUAAUAGCAAAUUUAACUCGUUUAAUAUUCACAUUUAUUAAAAUAAUCCACCACCCAACUUUUUGAAAAUUACAAUUUUGCCCCCAAACUUUUGCAUAAUUACACUUUUGUCCCCAAGCUCGGAAAUUAAACUUCAUCACUUAUUCUUAAGUUUUAUAACAUGCUGAACAUUUUUCCCUUCUAUGGAAACAUCAAAUUCCCACUCCAACACAUACUUUUGAAUAUUAAUUAUUUUUACCGAUUAUGUCUAUUUACCCGUUUUCGCUUAAAAUUGCUUAGCAAAAGUUGUUUAACAUAAUCUCUAGCUUCAUAUUCCACCAUAAAACAGCAAAAUAAACACAUUUCACCUAUGGAUAUUUUUCCAAAUAUGAACCCUAACAUGAAUUAAUGGUAGAAUAAGCUAAACCAAGUUACCGGGACUCCAAAAAUACGAAGAACAUUAAAAACGGGGCUUAGAAUCACUUACUAUGGAGCUUGAAAGCUUUAAAACCCUAAAUAUGGCUUCCCCCUUGCUGAUUUCGUUCACCAUGAAGAAGAUGAGCAUAUUUUGUCAUCUUUUUCCCAUUUAAUUCUAUUUAAUAACCAAAUGACUAAAAUGCCCCCAUUUAAAAAAAAUCUAUUUCACCCAUUUCUUAUGUCUAUUUUUGUCCAUCAACUAACUAAUGGUCUAAUUACCACAUAAAGACCUCCAAUUUAAAAUUUCAUAACAAUUAGACACCUCUAAGAUGUAGAACUCAACUUUUGCACUAUUUACAAUUUAGUCCUUUUGACUAAAUUGAGUGCCCAAACGUCGAAAUUUUCGAACGAAAUUUUUACGAAAAUUUUCCGUGAAAUUGUAGAUCAUAAAAAUAUAAUAAUAACCAUAUUUUCCCUCGUCGGAUUUGUGGUCCCGAAACCACUAUUCCGACUAGGCCCAGAAUCGGGCUGUUACACAAGACCUCUGGUGCCAUCCUGAAAAGAAAGGAUAAAUAGGAAUAUCAGACUGUGGAAAUUCAAAGAAAAAAUAAUUCUAUCAAUGGCAUCAGAGUACAUAAGAAGAUGAAGAAAAGGGUAAUAGUUGGACAGAUUUGACAAAAAUAGCUCACCAGUAAGGAGUUCCAAUGAAGGUAUUUCUAGAACGUUGCCUAUUUCCUGCAUCAAACAUGCAAGUUGAAACACCAAAGUCAGUAAGCUUUACUGUGCCAUUGUUAUCAAGCAAUAUGUGUCCAGCCUGUAAUGCUAAUUAAAAAAAACUUAUUAAAUAAAAUAAUGGUGAAUUCAAUCAGAUAACAUAAUGCCAACUUUUGUGAGGCACUGAUCUUAACAUCGCUAUGAAUAUGUUCUUGUCGAUGAAGAUAAUCCAGAACUUUAAAUGUUUCUUUCAGAACAAAACCAAUAGUAGGCUCUUCGAAACCAUCUGGAUAUGCUGACUUCAUGAGGUACAAACAUGAACCCUCUAACAUGAAAGGCAAGACUUUCCAAAGAUUAUGGUUAACCACAAAAGAACAAUAUGCCCGAAUAACAUUUGAGUGAUCAAUCAAACUCAUUGUUUGAGCUUCCCAACAGAUAUCAUCCUGCAAAAUAGCAUUAAGAAAGCAUGUUAAAAGCCAAUAGAUCACAUGAAGAGCAGAAAAUAUGGAUCUAAAUAUACCACUCAUGAUACUACCAAUUAUUAAAACCUCUAAACAAUAUCACAAAAGAUCCCAUUAGCCAAAAAUAAUUUUUGGUACACCUACUUGAGUGAUUGUAUUACCACCAAAAGUAGAAAAUUCCUAUAGAAUGAUCAAUAGUAAUGAAACAAGCAAGCAUACAAGAUGUUUAGUACACAUGAACUAGAUCUAAGGCCUGGCCUGGAUUGAGAGGAAACUAGGGAAAGGAAAAGGAAGGUUUCUAGUAUAAUAUUGUGUCCCUUAUUUAGAGAACAUUUUAACAUGAUAAAAUCUCACCACAAGCAAGUCUGAACUAAAAGAAACGAGCUUCAAUAAUAAAAAGUAAGAAUAUCAGAAUUUUAUUCAACUCGACCAAAAGCAAUCACUGAAAUCCACAAUCAAAUCAAAUUCCCACCGGCAGAUGCAUCGAUCAAUUGCCUAGUUGAGGGGUUCAAACCGUUGUAGAAAGUUUGAACCUAUAGCCAUAAAGGUAACCCAUGGUGAGAACACCUUUUCAAUAAAUCUUUAUACCUCUCCCAUGUAUCAUAUAGAGUAUUUAGAUCCAUUUGCACGAAGGAAGAGAUAUCAUUCCUCAGCUUGACUGUCUUAGCCAAUGAAAAGUACUUCAACAAGAAUUUUUCAGUCAUUUGUUCCCAUGUAGUGAUAGAACCUCGUGGUAGGGAGUUCAACCACUGUUUAGCCUUACUCUUCAACGAAAAGGGAAACAACCGAAGGCGAAUGGAAUCAUCAGAAACACCAUUAAUUUUAAAAGUGUUGCAGAAUUUCAAAAAAUUAGCCAAAUGAGUAUUUGGGUCUUCGUCCUGCAAACCAUCAAACUGAACAAACUGUUGAAUCAUUUGAAUAGUGUUAGGUUUCAGUUUAAAAUUAUUUGCAGCAACAGCAGGUCUAGCAAUACUCGAUUCAGCCCCAGUUAAAUUAGGCUUGGUAUAAUUAUACAUAGUACGAGGAGCAGGCUUCGAAUUUACAGGAUUUACAGCAACCACAUGAGGUAGCUGAAUAUUAUGAUUUUCUGCCAUCUCCUCAGUAUUAAUAACAACGUCCUCUUGCUUUUCUAUUGUACUCUGUCGACUCUGCCUUACUUCUCUACAGUUUCUGCGAGUUGUACUUUCGAUCUCAAUCUCGAAUACUAGAGGUCCUGACGGGUUUCUUCUAGUUAUAAACUAAAGGAACCUGCCAGAAGCAAAUAAAAGAAAAGUUAGUAAAUUAAAGUAAAAAUAAAAAACGGCUAAAGUAAUAAAAAUUAAGUGUUCCUAAUAUUUUAGUUCCUGGUAACGGUGCUAAAAACUUGAUGACGUCACGAACUAACUAAAAUGCGACAAAGGCAAGCACACCUAUCGAAUGGUAGUAUAAGUACGGUGAGCCGGGAAUAUCGUAUCCACGAGGACUAAAAGUACUAGUAAUCACUAUCUUUUUAUUAUCUAACCUAUAAAUUGAAGGGUUGUUUUUAAUCUAAAAUUAAACUAAACUAACUACUAAGCAACAGGGAGCGAAUUGGGAAAAUAAUCGAAGAAAACUUAUGAGAGAGACAAUACCCAGGAAAGAAUCCACCUAGACUUCACUUAUUAUUCUAAAUAUGAAUUAAACGAUUUAUUCAUUUGACUUGAUCCGUAGAAAUCCCUAAAUUAUAUUAAUAUCUCUUUCGAGAAUAAAAAUAACUGACUCUAGGUUGAUUAAUUAAUAUCUCUUUCUAAUUAAAGCCCCUAUCACCGCAUUAACUCGAUCUAUGGAUUCCCCUAUUAGAUUUGACUCUAAUCCGGUAGAUUUAUGUCGUCCUAUUUCUAGGAUUGCAUGCAACUUCACUCAAUUAUGCUAGAUCUACUCUUAAACAGGGACUUUUCCUCCACUGAAUAAGCACAUCAAUUAUGAAUUAAUAUCCUAAAAACAUUAAACAUGAAGGUAAGUAAACAUAAUUGAGAUCAAGAACAAAUAUUUAUCAUGUAAUUCAGAAAAAUCAAAUAAUAAGAUCUGUCAUAGGGUUCAUCUUCCCUAGGUAUUUAGGGAAUUUAGUUCAUACUUGGAAAGGAAAACAUCUCAAAAAUAGGAAAACAACAAAACAUAAAGAAACCCAAAAACUUCUAAAGAAAUUGAAUGGAGAUAUUCAGUCUUGAAGGAGAUCUUGCUUUUGAGUUGAGUUUGUCGGCCUUCUUCGAGUAAUUUCUGCGUUCUACUCUGCGUGUCCCCUUUAGAUCCUCUUCUAAUGUGUAUUUAUAGACUUUAGAUUGCCUUUUUCUCCGUAACAGGGAAGCCGAGUGCAAAAUCGACACAGACUGGCACAUGGGCAUGUGGCCAGCCCGUGUGGAAAUGCCCAGGCCAUGUGAAUCUUGAAAACAACUCUUUUUGCCUGAUUUUGGCUUGUUUUUCGCUCCUUUCACUCCCCUAUGCUCACCUAAGUAUAGAAACAUGAAUUUAAAAGAUUAGGAGCAUCAAAUUCACUAAUUCAUAUAAUAAAUCAUCCAAAAACGCAUCAAUAAUGGGAUUAAAAACAUGUUACUUUUAUGGCUUAUCUGAAUGCCUGCUGAAUUGCUUCCUUGUAGUUUUAGUACAUUGUAUUUUUCCUGCAUCCCCAAUAGCUAGUAGUUCAAUUUUUUUAGCUGUUUGAAAAUUUUAUCAUAAUGUAAUAGAAAGGUCCUGAAACGAGAUGAUUGUGAAUUUUCAUUCCAUUGGCGUUGUGGGUGGCAUUGUUGUUAUUGAAUGCAUUACAGGGCCCUUGGUAACCUCUCUGAUGCCAUUUUUCAUUAUAAUGUCUUCUGGUUUUAGAGGGUUGCAUUUCAUUGUCUUCUUAGUGUUAAAUACUUUGCAUCACAACUGUAGGUAGAAGCACAUUCGGAUUGAAAGAAAAAGACCCAAAUUCAGGAGAUGGUAAAAGACAAGGUUGAGGGAGAAAGAAGAUGAAGAGAAAAGAAAGAAGAACAAGAAAAAAAAGAAAGAGGUUGAAGGAGAAGAAGAUAAAGAGAAAGAUGAGAAGAAAAAGAAGAAAGACACAGAGAAAGGCCAAUUGUCUUUUCUUUUCUUUUUGACUCUUUGACUACUCAUUUAACGUGACAAGUUAAUUGGCCUAAUUAGCUAAUUAAUUGGCUACUUCAGCUAUCCCGUUAAGCCUAUGACGGAAAAUGUUAAUGAGUUAUUAAUUUGUCACUUUUUAAUAAAGUUAGUGACUGUUUUGUUAUUUUUUUAAAGUUGAAUGAAUGAAAUAAAACUCAAGUGAUUGUUUUGUCAGCUACCCAAAAUUGAGUGACUGUUAAUAAAAUUUACCCUAAAAAACUAUAAUAUUUUAUUAAUAUUAUAAGUAAAGUAUGGUCUUUUUCUACAUCCGAUUUUAUUUUAACAACAUCAUAUUAAUUAUUUUUAUCUAUAUCUAUUGAAAUGCAAUAACUUGAUGACAAGUUAUUAUCCAAUUAUUUUAUAUUAUAUUCCAAGUUUUCAAACAAUGUGAGCAAUGCUAGCUUCCAUCAAUAAAAUAAAAGCCAUGCAUACCUAUUCACUACCAUGUGAUAUGCAGCAGCCAAUAUUGACAUUUGUACUCAACAAAGGUUCAUUUCGUCAACAGCCAAAAUAUCACUGCCACAACACACCUUCUAGAUAGGAUUAAACAAAUUUUCCCAAUUGUAACUUACCCAAGGCAUAAAUAUAAAAUCCUACUUAGAUUACUUUCUUUUAAAUUGAUUUUUUACUUAGAUUACUUUCUUUUAAAUUGAUUUUUUUUGUCAUACUUAAACUAUAUUUCUUACUUAAAUUAUACUCCAUUAAUUAAAUUAUUUCAGUCAUUAUAUAAUAAAAAAAUUGUAACGUGAAACACAUUUUAACUAAAAUAUUCAAAAAGAAAAUUUAAGUAUUAUUUUUUAAAAAAAAUUAUAAACAUAUUCAUCUCUUCAAUUUUUCACUCAAAAUCUUCAAUAUCAAAAAUUCAAGAACUCAUUGAAACUCAUCUAAAUUCAACUUUCGAUGAUAAAACCCAUAUUUUGACGAGCUUCUUUUCUAUUUAAGUUUUUAAAUCUCUAUUUUGAUUCUUUUCUCAUAUAGAUUUAAAAUCUAUGGGAAGCGUAAAAAUAUAUAGAAUUUUUCAGCACAUUUUGAGCUCUAAUUCAUGUAGUUUUGUAGUAAAUUUUGUCGAAAUUCACACUUUAAUUAUAGAAUAAAUAAUUUGUACUUAAAUUAUUAACAUAUUGAAUUUUAAUUAUUUUUAUAAUAAAUUUUCACAAAUUUAGUUUAUUUUCGACAAUUUUGCACAAAAGGUAAAAACUGGCUCGGCAGACACCUCGAAAGGCUUGAAACGUUGGGGAAUUUUUGCAUCAAGUGAACCAAGAGCAAGACUGAAUAUUUUUUCAGCCAAGGACGGUCCAAAUGAUGAUUAUUUUAUGUACUUUGUAUUUAAUUUUUAUCUAACUUAAAUUGGGUUAAAAAUUAAAUAAAGCCUGAAGGAGAAAGUGACCCAAUGUGCUAAGCAUUGAAGACUGAUCCAACAAGAAAAUUGGCAGCCCAAAACCAUCCCAAUCAGCUUAUUUAGCUGAUUUAAUUACUUGCAUAACAACCCUCAAAGUUUCCUUAAACUCCAUUCAAACCCCUCCACUUUUUGUGCCUUUGAAGAUUUGCCCCAAGCUACAUUUAGCAAAGUUUGAAACAUUCAAACUUGCUUGUUGUAUGGCCAGCCAAGGAAGAGUGUAUGACUCCUAAUUAUUUGUUAUUUUUAGCAGCUUCAGACCUAUAAAUACUCAUCUUUGCUACUUCAUUCAACACACCUCCCAUCCCACACAUCUCUCUCUCUUUCACUCACUUUCUCUUCUUGUUUUCCAUUUUUUUCCUUUCUACUUUCCUUUGCCGAUUUUUCUUUUGGAAAAGAGCCUUUCAACCACCUUGGGUAGCAACAUUCAAGUGCUUAUAGAAGUCUUGGAACAACAAGAACGAGCAGAGAAGGAGAGGAGCAAACUAGUCUGGCUUCGGAGAAACACUAGAUUUUAUUCUAGUUUCCUAUCCUUUAACUUUUCUUGUUGUUGUUAUGAACAUGUCUAUAAGUAUUUGUUAUGUUGUUUUUCUAAAUUUAAUUAACAUGGCUUAAAUUUAAUUCGUGUAAUGUUGAUUGCAUUUCAUCUACUUAAGUUAUUAAAAUCAUGUUUGUGUUGUUAUAGGUCUUGAUAAAUUGUUUGAUUAAGUAAAACCAUGAUUAUGUUAUAUACUUGCAUUACAAUUGUAAGGUAACUAAUGAAUUAAUUAUUAAUCGUAUUUAAAUUGUAAUUAAUUGACACAAUACUUAAUCAGUGCAUGUUUAAUCUUCUAAGGUAGCUGAGGGUUAAAUUAGCGACGGUAUUAAACGGUAUAUUAGCCUUGUAUAACUUGCAAGAUUAUUGUGAUUAAACUGUUUCAAUGUAGGAAUAUAUUGUUACUUCACUUAAUCUUUUACUUGCUUAUUUAAAUUGAUUAAUUAUUUGAAUUGGUUUUGUAAUAUAUUCAAGAGAUUAGUUAAUUUAGUAAGUUUGUAUGUGCUAUAGUUAACAAAUUACUAAGUUGCCAUUAAUUUAUUCGUAACAACAUGAACAUUGUCUUGAUAAUAUUAAGUUAAGAAAUGUAAUUGAUCUAACACAAUUAUGUCAUAUUGAUUAAAAUCAUCUUUUGAAAUUAUGCUUUGGAAUUUUUACCUUUUAAUUUUCUUAGUUAAAAUAUAGUUUACUAAACCCUUUUCUUUCAAAACAAAAGAUUUUCCUUCACCAAAGUGUUUUUAUUAAUUGCAUUUCAUAAAUAUUUUCUUACACAGUCCUUGUGUCACUUUAUUACUUAUUGCGAUUGUGUACACUUGAACAUUUUCAUCGUUCCAUCUAUGUAUUAUUUUUGUUAAAAAUAACUUUUUCUAUUCUUUUCUAUAUACUUUGCAUAAAAUAAUUAAGGGUCCAUUUGUUUAGUAGGAAAACAUUUUCUGAAAAAUGUUUUCCUGAUUUUCUAGUGUUUGUUUGCUUGAAAAUAACUUACAUUGGUAAAAAAUUUUCAGAAACACGGGAAAAUGAUGAGGGAUUUUAAGGAAAAUGUCUUACCGAUUUUAUUUCUGUAAGACAUUUUCCAAAAAAUCUUCCUCCACUUUCAUCAUCUUCUUUCUCCUUCUUCCGUUUUCUACUUCUUCCUGUUCUUCAUCUUUUAUUUCCGUUUUUCCUUAGCUGUCUCCAUCGUAUAUCUUCUCUUCUCAGGGCUGCUGUUUCGUUUUACUCUAAUAUUCCUCUUCGCAGGAUCUUGGCUUAAGGUAUGGCAUCUUCUUUAUCUUCAUUUAAAAGCUCUUUUCUUUCUUCUUGUUCUUUACUUGUCCACAUUUUAACCGAUAAUUUUGGAAAUUCCCUAGAAUUUUGAUUUAAAUUUUUAUACUGUUGAAUACCCUUUUGUUCUUUGUGCUGAAUUAGUGGUGGGUUUUAUCUGAAAGUGAAACAGCGUUGGUUAUACAAGUUUCUUUCGGUUCGUAUGCCUAAAAUUUUAUGCCUUUCAUUGUUUCUUUAUUUUAAUUUUUUAGUGAAUUACAUGUUCAAAUUUUGAACAUAUUAUUCUAUAUGUUCUUUCCUACUCCGGAGGGUAACUAUGUCCUCUGACUUUCGAGAAAAUAUAUUUCAUGUAGGAGGAGAAGGAACAAUCCCUAAGGCAGGUUAAACUACCUUAACCUGCUUCCCCCUUCCAAACUGUCUACUCUAUUUGUUCUUUAAGGAUUUCUUUCUGUUAGGAUUUUAACCCGGUUAAGUAACGAACAAGAAAAUAGUAGAAUACAUUGAGAAAUUGAACACACAAAUUUAACGUGGAAAAACCCCUCCAAAGAGGAUAAAAAACCACAGACAAAGAUAAUUUUACUAUAAUGGCAAAAGAACGAAGAGUACAAAAGAUGGAGAUAAAAACUAAACCCCGAAAACAAAGAACCCACAAAACAUAAACACAAAAUUCUCUAAAUGUGUUAUGAGUUCUAAUCUCUAAUGGGUGUAUUUUCUAAGGUUGUAAAAGAGCCUAUUUAUAGGCUAAAUUCAUAGAUUAAAUAAUAAUAAAAUAAUCCAAACUAAUCAGUGUUUGAUUGAAACAAGUAAACAGAGUUUAACUGAAAGAUUAUUUUUCAAAUUUGACUGAAAAUAGGAGUCAUAUUUAACAAAUCUCCACCUUGACUCAUAUUUUCCAUAACGCCAUAUUUGCCAAAGCCCGCCAUGAGCCUAUCUUGAACUAUGCAGGGAAUUAACUGAGUCGAAUUUGUGCUUAGAAACUGGAAGACUUCUAGCCUUCGACUUGUACACUGCCAAAUCAAACUAACCCGGGUCUGAUUUUCACGAACACAGUGCCCUAACUUUUCAAAACCUGCAUCCAAAAGAAAACCUCUCUUCAACGAAACAGUCAUACCUUUUUCCCUCUAUGACCAAGUUGCCUCCGCUUCAAACAAGUUGACUUCAACUCCGUAACGGACGAGGGACGUCCGAUUUCACCGGUCACUGUAUAACUUUCCAGAGUAUAAAGACUGCCGGUUCUUUUAUCUUUUAACAAAACGAGAGCUCCACGAGAUACUUUAAUACCACUCGACUCGAUGUUGAUUUUGCAUCCUUUCAAGUCUAAAAUACUUAAGGAGAUGUGAUUCUUUCAUAAAUCAGGUACAUACCUAACAUCUGAGAGUGUCCUAAUCAUCCCAUCGUGCAUCUUAAUUUUAACAGUACCAAUACCAAUUACCUUACUAGAUGAAUCGUUUCCCAUGCGCACAACUCCACCUUCAAUUGAACUGUAUGUGGAGAACCAUUCUCUAUUGGGACACAUGUGGAAAGAACAUCCUGAAUCUAGGAUCCACUCGGACGUGAGCUUGGUGUUAUCACUUGUUGACACUAACAAGAAAUCAUCUCCAUUUUCACCGGCCAAAUUAUCACCAGCUACAUCUUCCUCGUUACUCUCAGCAGCUUUUUUAUUUCGCAGUUUAUAACAAUCUGCUUUGACGUGACCUAACUUUUUACAAUAGCGACACCUUUUAUCUCGUUUCUUUGAUGCUAUCAAAAUGGAAGCUUGCCUAUCUGUCUUGCUAUCCAAAUGAAGCUCAUUGUCGAGUUUGUUUCUACUCAACAAAUGACCCUUCACAUCUUCGAACAAGAGUUUGUCUCUGCCAUAAAUCAGGGUCUCCCUGAAAGACUUGUAUGAAUGGGGUAAAGAGCACAAUAAUAGCAUAGCCUGAUCUUCAUUGUUAAUAUGAACCUCAACAUUCUUUAAAUCAUUUAAAAGAGUAAUGAAUUGACUGAUGUGAUCUCUAAGAAGCUCACCUUCGUUCAUGCGAAACGUAAAUAGACGUUGUUUCAACACUAAACGGUUAGCCAGAGACUUAGUCGCAUAAAGAGUUUCUGACCUUUUCCACAAGGCAGAUGAGGUCUUCUCCAUCAAUACCUCCUGCAAUACUGUAUUCGUGAGGCACAACUGGAUUGCAGAUAAAGCCUUUUCAUCAAGCUCUUCCCAUUCUGUUUUAUUUAGAUUCUCAGGCUUUUUCCUGAUAACAACCUUUUUCAAGCCUGAUUGAACUAGAAUUGCCAUCAUCCGAACCUGCCACAGAUUGAAAUUUGUCUCACCAUCGAACUUCUCAAUUUCAAACCUUGUUGUUACCAUCUCUGAACGGGCUAAUUUAUGAAAAUUGAACUAGUUCUGAUACCACUUGUUAGGAUUUUAACCCGAUUAAGUAACGAACAAGAAAAUAGCAGAAUAAAUUGAGAAAUUGAACACAUAAAUUUAACGUGGAAAAACCCCUCCAAAGAGGAUAAAAAACCACAGGCAAAGAUAAUUUUACUAUAAUGGUAAAAGAACGAAGAGUACAAAAGAUGGAGAUAAAAACUAAACCCCAAAAACCCGAAAACAAAGGACCUACAAAACGUAAACACAAAAUUCUCUAAAUGUGUUAUGAGUUAUAAUCUAUAAUGGGUGUAUUUUCUAAGGUUGUAAAAGAGCCUAUUUAUAGGCUAAAUUCAUAGAUCAAAUAAUAAUAAAAUAAUCUAAACUAAUCAGUGUUUGAUUGAAACAAGUAAACAGAGUUUAACUGAAAGAUUAUUUUUCAAAUUUGACUGAAAAUAGGAGUCAUAUUUAACACUUUCAACCUGUAAUUACUAUUGCUGCUGUCCUAUGUUUUAUUGGUGAUUUGAAGAUCAUUUAUUUCCCCCACUAACAUGAUUCGGAUCAUCCAGCUAUUGAUUAUUGAUACUGCUUUGUCCAGGAUUAGAGCUGGUCUGUGUCAUUAAAGGAAAGUUUGUUGUUCAGUAUAGCAAAUCUCUUCAAUGAUCCAGGAUUUUCUACUUUCAUGUCUUAUUGCAGUCACUAUCCUUCCUACAAGCUUAGUCUACCUUAUCAAGUUUAGAAUUUCUGAUAGAGUCAUCCUUAUUGAUACCUGAAUGAGCUCUAUUACUUCCAUCACCAGACUCCUCUGUUAAUUCCUUUGCAUUCUUAGAUACAGGGACCCUUUCCUUAGGAAGCAAAAUCUUAGCAGCAUCUGCUAUCUUACUCGUGGAGUUCC
rnacentral:lncRNA from 1 species